rnacentral:lncRNA from 1 species
UUUUUUUCUUUUUUUGGUUUAUUUUGUAAAAUAUUAUAAUUAAUACGAGAACAAAUAUGGAUAAUCAAUCAUUUUGCCUAAAUUAAUAUAUUAAUAAGCAUGCGAAAACACAUUUAAUAAGUUGGUUAUAUGCUAUAUAAAACAUGCCUCUCGUAUCUUUUUACAUAAUUUUUUUUUGGAUCAUACUAUGGAAUUUUUAGGUGACAAAAUUAAAAGUAGUCAAUAACAAUCACAUAAUUAGAGUGUUAUACAAAUAGGAAACAAUCUUUUCUUUUAUACAUCAUAUUGAGACCAGACAAAAGAAGAUGAGGUAAGUACACGUGUACCUUACUCUAUUUAAUUUUCUCUGCAACUUCAGAUUCAUUCAAUUGCUUUUAAUUCCCAGAUGGCGCACCAGAAAGUGCAGAGCUUUUAUUAUACCACAGAUCUAGCUUCUUUUUCUUUUUUGAGAUCGAUCUAGCUGGAUCUCUAUACUUGAAUUUUUCUUUCUAGAAAUUCUCGUAAACAAGAUCAAAUUAAAUCGUUAAAACACACAGUACGAAAAUUAACAAAACCCCUUUGCUUACUUGGAUCUAAGCAUCACGUCUCUAAUGAAGUUUGCAUCUUCUUCCACCACAACCUUCUGAUAAUAUUCCUGAAACACAGGAUCUUCCACCAUGGAUGCUUCUGGGUACUUGUCUAUGAAAUCUUUCCACACAUUCUCACGACCCUUCAACUCCCUCAUCACCUCCCACACACAAUUGCUGCACUUAAACCCCGCUCCUAACCCAAUCAUUAAGAUUCUGUCACCUUUCUUCAACCUCUCCUUAGCUUCCAAGUACGCGAAGACGUACCAGAUCCCUGCAACUGAUGUGUUUCCGAAUCGAUGAAGAGCCAUUUUUGAAGCUUCCACGUCGUAUUCGCUCAGCCCUAAGCUCUUGCUAAUCCCCUCAAUGACAGCCUUGCCUCCUGGGUGAAUGCAGAAGUGGUGAAUCCCUGUUUUCAGAUUCAACCGAGCUCCUCCACCUGGAUAUUCAUUCGCAGGAGUAACACUCGUACCGCUACUGCGUCGGACUGAAAUCUUGUUUGCUAAAAGAGAUGAUACAACGUAACGAAGCAGCUCUGUUAAUGGCAGAACCUUAGGUAAAAGCACUCUGAGAUUCGUUGCCAUAGCUUUCGCGCCAACUCUUGGGAGACUUUUGGAAAGCACAAACCCUUCAUAACCUUUAUCAUCAGCAUCUUGAAUGCAACAACUGUAACCUUCAUCGUCAGAACCCAUAUGGGUUCUCACCGCCAAUUUCAACUUCAAGAUCGCUCGGUGUUUCAGGGCAUUGUUGUUUGUCAGAAGCAUGGAGCACCCACCUGAUCUGAAAAGACAAUUCGGGAGCAUCAUCGAUUUUUUAUUCCCACAAUACCAGUGGGGCACCAUAGCUUCUGCACUCACAACGAGAGCAAGCUUGUUUUUGUAACAGUUAAACAAAUGCUGAACAAGAUCGAUUGCUAUAACACUCGCGCUACAUCCCAUACCGGAUAGGUUAAAAGUUUUAACAUCAUCCCUCAUCUUAUAACGGUUAACGACUCGGGAAGUAAUGGACGGAGCUGGAGAAAAUAACGAUAAAUUAACGACGAGGAUGUCGAUUUCUGACGGAGAAACCCCGGUUUUGGCAAAGAGAUUAUCGAGGACAGUGAAAAUGGAUUCGUCGACGUCGGAAAGUGCAUCAAUCAAGGUAGGGUUUUCUUCUCGGCCAUCUAUAACACUUCUCGGGCCGUAAGUUUCUUGUCCCAUACCGGAUCUACCGAAGGUUUUGAGGACAAAUUUGUAUUCCUCAAGACCCAGGUUCUUGUUACGGAGGAUGAUUUUCGCGUUUUCUUCAAUGCCGAGCUUUCGGUCAUCGGCAGCUUUGAAGCAUUCAUAGUGAAGUAAGUAGCAAGAUCGGUUUCGUUUUUGAAUUAGUGAUUUGCAGAGGUAGAAAAUAAUGUGGAAGAAUAUUAGCAUGUAUAUGGCCAUGAGGACAAGCUCCAUAGUUACAGAUGAUCAGUAGAGAUAAGAUGGAAGUGAAGAGGAUUUAGUUAUAUAUGUAAAUAUAUAAUAUAUUUGACCUGGAGUGCUUGUAUCUUGAGGUUAAGCUUAUGGGAAAGAUCUGUUUGGGUCUUUCUUUUAUAGACCUGAAAAAGGUGGUAACGUACCCAACCACCAUGUAAUUACUACUACAAUAAUUUUCUUUUCUCUUCUGGUUUGUUUUUUUUUUUUCCCAAACAAUUGAUAAGGAUGGUGAACUUUUCUCUUUUUUUUCCCUUCAAAAGGAUUGAUGGGGACGGUAGUGGUGUCACUGGACCUCGUUACAUAUCCUCGUUACUGAUGGGUACACAUAUAAAUCAAUAAAAUAAUAUUUUUCAGAGAAAAUUCAAUAAGAACACACAUCUAAAUAAGUGAUACAUAAGCUUGAAAAUUCUUGUGAAUUAUAAAUUUUAAAAAAACUAAUCACGUUUACAGAAGAAUUGGUAAUCACUUGAGAACAUGAGAAGUUGGAUAAGACGGAGCUAGUUUAGACCUGCUUUAUUGUGGUCCUUAAAUAAUGAAAAGUCAAAUAUUAUUCUUAAAUAGGAAACUAAGAAUGCAUUAUUACCGCGUACAACACGUUGUACUCGUAUUAGGUUUAAACAGAAUUUAAAUAAGGCAUUUUUUUGUGAUUUUAUUGGUUUUAAUCAAGACAGGUUUUUGUUCAAUACCCAUGAAUGGUUACUGUUUGAUCUUUUGAAGAGUGAAAAAUCGAACUAGCUUUUUCACUUUUCAAAUAUUAAACUGACUAAUUAUUAUCUUUAAAAUCUUCAGCUUUUUAUGUUUAAAACACUGAAAAUCCUUACUAACCAAGUUUCUCUUGUGUGAUUAAAAACACUAAUCAAGUUUCUCUUUCUAACAUAUAUAUAUAUAUAUAUAUAUAUAUAUUCCAUGAAAAUCUUCCAUUGAAAAUCGAUCUAUCAAAAUUUCCCAUUAUAUUAAAUAUGAAAAUCCCAUUCACCGUGUUUCAAGUAAAGGGUUAAUAAUGUUAAUCAAGUUUCUCCUUCCAGUAUUUUCUAUGGAAAUCAACCAGAAAAAAAGUAUAGAAAUGCCAUCAAGCAUGUUAAAGUGAAUGGUUAUAUAUCCACCAAACUUUAAUAGCGAAGAUCAGGAAGAUAGGGGGUGCUAAAGGUUGAUGAAGCAUAAUUAAAUGAAUGAUUAGAAGGGAGUAAUUAAAACCAAGGCGAGCUGGCAGGACAAAAUUCCUGUAUUAUUUAUUUUUAUUUUUUUUUCUAAUGAAAAGAAAAAAUAAGUAUCAUCAACAUUGCGUUAUACCUACUCCUUUGUAGCAUUAUAAAUGAUAUGUAGAUACAGAUAUACAAACACACAGUGCAUGUACGUAGCUUUCAAGAGGGACAUAUACAGUGCAUGGGAUAGUAACUUUGUGUCAGAAGGUAGAAAUGUGAUUGGAAAAUCUUUUAUUGCAUGCGACAGUAACUAUUUCAAAAACGUAGAAAUGUCUACUAUAUCAUUCAUCCAUGUAUAACUCCUCCAUCGUAAGAACAUAUAUAUAUAUAUAAUUUAUACAAGCAUACAAACCUAGAUAGGCCAAGUAGUGAGUGCUUGUUUCGUAGACUACUAAUUGAUACUUAAAAAAUUUAAAAGAUACUAAAUUCGAACAAGAUCAAGUAAGAAAUUAGACAAAACACUAACAAUUUUAUCAUUAUAUUAACUAUUCUAAAAUUUUUAUUUUAUUUUUAGUGAGACAAAACUAUAUUAGCUAUUAACUCAUUGUUGCUACUGUAAAUAAGAAAAUCUAAUCAUAACAUAAAUUUUUUUAAUAAAUUUAUCGAAAAGAAGUCCAAUUUGAUCAUCACACCGUCAUCAACAUAAUAAUUUUAAAUUUGUUGAAUAAAGUAGUAUAAGUUAAUGUACUCAUAAACUAGUGAAUUUUACAUUCCCAACAAAUUUCAAAUUGAAGAUAAAUAAUAUCUUAAAAAUUUUAUAGAAUAAGAAAUUAAGUAUUUAAACAAUAUUUUUACACUACCAUCAUAAAUACAUAAAGAUAAUUUAAAUUCAUUACAUCCCAAUACAAAAUGUGGAAACAGAUAGACACAUAAAUCUCGAUAAAUUUAAGUUGAUGCUCUAAUUCUCAUAACACUAUUGCAUAACAAUAAUAUUAUUAUUUUCGUAAAUAUAUAAUUUAAAUGGAUAACAAAAGAAUUUUAAUCUCGGUCUUAAGAUUUGAAAUACCCCUUACCGUACUCAAAAUAAAAAAUACUUAAAAACUCUAUAUGAGAUGUUGUUCUCAAGAAUAUCAAGUACUAAUUACCCAUUGACUUCUUUUAUUCUUCCUGAAAGGUUUCUUUGCAUCUUUUAUUAAUUAACACACACACAUAUAUAUAUGGAUGUAUUUGUUGAGAAUAGAUAUUAAAUUGGCAUACACAAAAAUAUCAGGUUCUAUUAAUGAAAAAAGGGUAUGAAUUAUGUAUUAUAUCGUAUUAGCUAUAGCUACAAUGAUCAACAUGUUCAAGUAAAAUUUUUAAGAAAUAUUCGAAAAAGCAAUUAAAAAGAAUAACAUUAAUCGGUUUCUUAAUAUAUAUAUAUAUAUAGAGAGAGAGAGAGAGAGUGUGUGUGUGUGUGUGUGUGUGUGAUUCAUAUGUAUGUAAAUUACUAUAUUAAUCAAUAUGUACUCUACAUUGUAUUAGAACUUAUUUGAGGUCGGAGACUAAAAGCUGAGCAAAUAUCCUUUAUGUCUCUUUCCAUAGACACAUACAAAUAUUAAUGAGAGACAAGAAAUUCUAACCUUCUUCAUACAACUCAGCAUGUAUAUAAUAAAUUCUUAAUAGUUUCAUAAAAAAAAUAAAUAGAUAAAUAAAUUAAUUCUUAAUUCCUUUGUAAAUAUAUAUAUAUAUAAAUAAACUCUUAAUAAUAAUGAAAAUUAAUCUUCAUCAUAAUCAUAUGAAUUCUAACUCUAGACUUUUGGUGCGGUUAAUCUCCUGCAUAUAUCCUUAUUUGGAGGUAUACUGUGAUUAGUAUAUGCAAAUUAUCUAAUUUAAUGAAUUUAUAAAUUUAGAUUAAAAAAAAUUAUAAUUAAUUAAUGAAAAUUUUAAAUUGAUAAAAGUAACUUUGAACUUAUUAUCAAUAAACAUUAAUUAAUACGUCAUGUGUAAAUUCACCAUAAAGAAAGUGGAUUAAACAAAAACACAUUACGUACUUAAGCUGAAAUUAUGAACAUUAAUUACAAUCGUUCAAGCAUUGGGUUGAGACAUGGUAGUUACCAGUUGAACAUCGCACUAACCACCAUCUAAUUUAUAUUAAAACUAAUUAAUAGAAAUAAGACGACCGUCAAAAUUCAGAGAUUAUAGUAAAUUACUCGAUAAUUUAAUUAAAAUAAACUGAGUGUUAGUCUAAUACAACACUUGAAUUCUGAAUCUUAAGUAAAAGAAAAUGAACAACUAUCACAGUCUAAAAACUUUUUUAAGUGCUAAUAUAUGUGUGUGUGUGUGUGUGCAUAUACAUAUAUAUAUAUAUAUAUAUAUAUAUAGAAGUUGAAAAUCCACAAAAAAUGUAUACUAGGUUUAUCUUAAUAUUCUGUUCUAUAUCUUUUUAUAAAAAUUUAAAAUAUGGAACUCUUAGAAGUAUGUGACUCUAUAUUAUUCUAUAAUUAUUUAUUUAUACAUUAACAAUAGAAUCAAACAUGAUUAUACCAAAAUGAGAAUAAAAGGGUUACACUAUUUCAUAAUAUAUAUAUAUAUAUAUAUUUUUUGGGUCAAUACAUUGGAGAUGGUGUUGGUGAUCAUCAUUUAUCACCAUCAUCUUCCCAUAGAUCUUAAUUAAUUUACAUCAUUUCAUUGCAUUCAACUUUUGAACCCCAUUCAAUUUAUGAGCUUGUCCUUUUGGUUUCUGCUUGCACAUGGCUGUUCUGGUCUUUCAGCAUCCGCUACAUACACAUACAUAUAUAUAUGCACGCACAUGAUGGGUUUUAUUCUUAAUUCUUCAGUUUCUGUCAUUGACAGUGGUAAAUUGAUGGGAGGUUGAAUUUGCUGUUUGCUAGAAGUGAAUAUGUGUGGUUUAGAUCAGUGAGGUUGAUGGUUUGAUUCCCAGUUUUUUGUUUUUUGGUUAUGUGAUUUUUUCUUGUUACUUUUGAUCAGAAUUUCAGGAAUUGAUCAAGUAAUAUAAUAUAUAUACAUAUACAAAUAGAUACGCUAAAACUUAAAAGAUCAAAAUUAUUAGUAAGUACUAUAUUUAUAAUAUAUGGUCGUAAUUUUUUUUAAAUAAAAAACAGAUACAGUCAUUAUUUAGAUGAUAUGCAUAUAUAUAUAUAUAUAUCAAUAAUAAUAAAUAUAUAUAAAUAAUUUUUAAAUAGAUAUAAGUUAUGAUUUUUUUUAUUGUAUAAUAAAAUUAUUUAUUUUUGAUUAAAUGAUUGGAGAGAAGUAAUAAAAUAUCUGUAUGUUGUUUCGGUAGAUAUGGGCGCUUACACGAUUAAUAAAUUGAAAGAUGGAAGAGGAAGUUGAUAAGUACAAGUGAGAAGUGAAUAGCAUGCUUUUGUAACAUGCAUAUCUUAUCUUCAAAUUAAAGCAAAAUAUGGGACCAUUACUGACCAUUGUUUUUCUUUGGCUAUACAUAUAUAUAUAUAUAUAUACGUAUGUAUGUAUGUGUGUGUGUGUGUGUGUGUAUAUAUAUAUAUAUAUAUGGGGACUAGUAGGUGAGUUUUUCAAUAAAUUGCCAAAAUUAUUGUUUAUACGUGCCACCUUCACUCUCAAGAUUGAAUUAUUGACAGCAUGGGAAUCUCUUGAAUUCUAUUCAUGGGGAAAGACACGAAAUAAUAUGUUGUAACUAAUUAUAAUAAAUUAUUUUUUGUUUAUUUUCAUUAAAAAAAUUUAUAUGUUCGAGUCCAUUUAUGUAUUUUGUGAGUCUUUAAUAUAAAAUGUGAUUUGUCUUGUACAUAUAUGUGUGUGUGUGUGUGUGUAUAUAUAUAUAUAUCUCACUUAAUUGAUAAUAUAUAUGAAUUUUUACUCAAAAAAUUAUAUAUGUAUUGAACAGUCAUCUAAUAUUUUAGUUGAUGCCUAUUCCUUUCAUGACUCACUUAUUAAUUAACUAGAUUUUUAUCUAACAUGUAUGAAUUUUGAAAUCGAUUUCUGAGUUCUUUUUUCUUAAGAAUUUUGAAAUUAAUAAUUUUAAUUGUAUUAAAAUAUUAAUAAAUUAAAUUAUUAAUUUUAUUAAAUAAAAUAUUAUAAAUUACUCACAAUCAGUUAAUACAUUAAAUCAUGCACAACUCAUAAUCAACUAAUGUAAUCAAAAACUUUACAGAUAACAUUAUUAUUCAUAAUCAUAAAACUCUCAACAAAUUAUCUCUACUUGAUUUACAUUCAACACGUGAAUGUCAACUAAGAUAAUUGAAAUAACUUUAAUUGAUUAAAAAUACUAUAAAUAUGAACUUGAUAAAUUAAAAAUCAAUUCGAAAGGAAAUUAAUAAAUCGUCAUAAAGAUUUACUUUGAUAAACUGAAUCAAUUUUCAUUUAAUAAGAAGGUUGAAAAAACCUAAUUAGUUGAAAAUUAAAACUUCAUAAUUUUAUUAUUUUCAAACUUUAUUCUUUAUAUGAAUAUGUGUAUAUAUGUUAAAAAAAAUAUAAAUAAAAACUAAGAGAAUUAGUUAAGUAGAUAAAUAGAUUGACUUUCUAUUUUAAUUAUCUAAGGUCAUUUUCUAGAUAAUAUUUAUAAAAAAAAAGAGGGAUUCUAAAAAUAAAUGCCCUCAAAUUUAGUUUGAAAAAGUUUAAUUUCAAAUAAAUUGUUAUUACCCCUUGUAAUUUUACUUCUACCAUUUGUUCUUCCGUUCUUCCUUCUCAAGUCAGCAAAGGAGAAUUAACUGAGGUAGCUCCAGAAAACGACACCGCAUCAGAAAGUUGACUUCACUGCCCACGCUAGUUGACGGCAGUCUCUGAGUACCAAGGGUUUAGACCCGGCUCUCCGCCGGCAGCCUCGACGGCCCUCUCUAUUUUCUGGCCUCCCGUUUCUCUCUCUCGACAUAAAUGUAUAUAAAUGAACACCGAUUGUAUACUAUGUAUGAUUUUGCUAGUGCGUAAGAUUUGGGGAAUGGAUAUAUGGUUGUUGUUGAAUGGAUUUUGGAUUGUUAUCAUGGAGGAAUUAAUCGUGAUUCAUAUGUGCUCUUUUGGGACUUUGAAAAAAAAAAAAAAACCAAAGUGGGUGGCUCUCGUGUUCAAUUGCGUAGCCAUUGAUUGAUUAAUUCAUUUUUUCAAUUCUUUUUCUUUUUUUUUUUUUUUUUUGUUUAAUGGAGUAUUUUUAGUAGUCUUUCACUUUGCGGGUCCUGAGAAGUUGAUAAUUCAUAAGAUAAUCUCUCUUGACAAGUACACAUAAGAAUACAUAGUUUGGUUCGAAACCAUGACAUGGUUAAGACCCAACGAUUCAGUUAAAUACUGUACUAUAUUUAGUAUGUUGAAUUUCCUGGACAUUGUUUGAUUAAUUCAUUUUUAUCUGUUUUUGACCUUCUCUGGACACUGGGUACUUCAUGAUUCCUCAAUGUAAAUAAUGAAUCAGUUCUUUUCCAUUAGUUUAGUCUUUUAGAAAUUUGAUCACUCAUUUCAUAUUAUAUAUGUCUGUAUAUCUACCUAUAUAUAUAUAUAUUAUUUCAAGUGGUAUAAGAGAAUUGAAAGAUCGAAUUUUGCUUAAGCCCUUCUUUCAAUAGGAUGAGAUUGGUACUUGGGACUUAUAGACGUUUUAGACAAAGCAUAAAUAUUACUGUUUCUAGGUGGGCUAGUUUUGGACAUAACAGGAUGAGCCUGAAUAUGGGAAGUGACUUCUUGGUUUUGAUUAUUUCCUUUCUUGGGCUCUACAUGUUAUUUUGCGCUGCAUGCCAAGACAAAAGCAUAUACAUUACAAGUUGUAUCUCAUCUGAAGAGUAUAGGCUAAUUUUUUUACUACAUUUGAUAAUUAUUUCUCUAAUAACAUUCUCUCAAUGCAACAUAUGAAGCAGGGAAGAAGCAGAAACAAUUGGAAUAUUAUACAGAAAAGGUAAACUAUCUUCUAUCCUUACAUUUGAAUAUGAACUUUCAAGAUGAAGUUUUGCUCGAUGCUAAACUUCUCUUUUUUGUGGAAACUGAGCCCACUAGAUGCUUAAAAUGGGAUUUCUAUAGCUUUUUGGAAUAUGUAUUGCAGCUUAAAUAGAACCCUGUUUCUUUUUUUAAUUUACUUCUGAUGCUUAAUUACUUAUGUCUAAAGAUUUUGAUGUUUAGUUAUAGUCCUUAACAUCAUUGAAAAUUUCCAGCAUGCACAAGAAUGAAGAUGUCUAAUCUUCUUUUCACUUCUGUUUGGUGCAAUAUCCAUGGAUAAAUGGCUGCUGUUUAUGCGUUUAAAUUAGGGGAUAAUUGGCAUCUCGAAAUCUGUUUGUAAUGCUUGAAAAUACUUGAUUUGAUGCUGGACUUGAUGGUAAUGAAAGGUUAAAGAGGCAAGACACCGUAUAUUAAAUGGGUGUGAACAUAAUGCACACAGACACCAAAUCUUUGAAGAACCCAGUUUGUUGAUUUUGGUAUGUUAAAUUAUUAGUUCUUUUUAUGCUCUUUCUUUUCAUUGAUUUUUCAUUAAUCCUUAGUUAUGUUUUGAUUUCAUCUAAAGUUUAAAAUUGAAAUUUUUAACAAAAGUUAUUAAGUCUGUCUCUGGGUAAAUGUUUACACCUUCCUUUCAUAAUCAUUUUCUUGAACCUAAUUUUCUCUAAAAAUUUAUCAGUAAUAGUUUUAGCAUCCAAUCUUCCUUCUACAAUGAUUAGUAGUGGCUCUCUCCACCCUUUGGAUUUUGAAAUAAAUUGAUUUUCAUUAAUUUUUUGGAGGUUGCUACAACGCUGGCAUCACUUCUUUCUGCUCAACUGUUUGAUCAUCUAUGGGAAAUCUAAAAGUUGACUACAAAAAGAAGAAGAAAAAAAAGGAGAAAACUGCAUCUGCUUUGGAUACAUUCUGUAUACCAAACACUUCAAUUAUCACGAUUUGCUGUGAACAUGAGCUGCAUCAUUUAUGGAGGUAUGCAUACCCGAGAAUGACAUGAUGAAGAAGUUGAAGAAAAACCAUCUAAGAUAUGAGUACCGUGGAACAGGUCUGACAAGUAAUUUUCAAGAUCAUCAGGUCCAAACCUCACCAACAUCGCCAGAUUUUUCUCACCAUUCAACACCCCCAAGUACUUACCAUAGAAUUCUCUGUACGCUGGUACAAGUUUCUUUUCUAUUGACAGCUUAAGUUCAUCCCUUAAUUUUCUAUCUGGUACAAUCCAUGAGAUCUGUUUCAUAUAUGCUGCUUCAAAUGCCGCAUUAAACUGUCUAAAGUGCUCCUUUGCCACUUCAGGCGAUACCAUUGUGGAACCUUUCUCUGGCAAGGAUGAGAGGACUUUAGUCCAUGCUGUUGCUUCGUAGCUUGAUGCAUAUAGUUUAACUUUCUUUAUAUGCCUUGCUACCCAUUCAUCUCCAAGGACGUUGUGUAAAUGAGUUGUCUGAACUUCAUUGACUAUGAAGAGAAGAUUGUUAGCUAGGAAAAGGUAGGACAUAGAUAUAUCAUUGUAUAACUCAGCUUUUCUGUCGAGCUUGCAUAAAAGAGCUAGUAUGAGCCAAGCAAGGUGAGUCGAUGCUGCUGGAGUUAAACCGUCUUCAGAUGCUGGAUUCUCAAAACAAGAUUCUGGGACUGGUGAAUUUCUUGGAAGUGGAUGAUCAGCUAGAAUAUCAGAUAGAAUUCCACUGUGUUCUGCGAGAGAACAUAUGUAACUCAUUGCUGAUCGGGCCAGUAGGUGAAUUCCACCACCAGGAGGUAUGGUUUUUGAUGAAUCCCUCUGGAUUGUUGAUUCGAAAUUCAAUAAAAGGCUGCAGACAGUGUCAGCAAGUUUAUGUAGUGAUGAAAGGGCCUGCAACUUAAUAACUGAGGUCAAUUCAGAGUUGAAUAUUAACUCUAUAUCCUGCCAGAGCUCAGAGAUUGCUUGAUGGAGUUCCAUUAGCCGGAAAAUUCGUCCUGGCAAUUUCUUCUUCUUCGAAAUAAUUUCUGGAAACCUGAAUAGUGUAAUUGUUUUUUCUUUGCUGAUCUCGUAAAAGCAAGACUCUCUAAUUGUUUUAGAAGCUGAAAACACAUAAUCACAGAGCAUUUUUUCUCCAUUGAGGAGUGUUUUCACUGCAAUCUUUAUUGCAUUCAGCCACUUCUUGGUUACAUGCUCCAGUGCUUCCCCAUCCAUUUUCUGAAUAUGGGAAUUCUUAAUUCUCUCCAUUCCAAGCAGGUACAGUCCUUCAUCUAUGAUUGACUUUCUGAUUAACUUGUAAAUCCUUAUACACUCUUUCCCGUAACCACAACUGAUCAUACACUCAGCUACUGCCUUCAGGUCUGACAUCACGAGAAUUGAGUCCUUUUCUACCUCAGUUAUUGACUCACCAGCUUUUUUCAUGUCAGCCUCAUCUUCAGAUACCAUCUCGUGUUCAUCAUCAGAAUUGCUCGACCCAUCUGAUGAUCGGCUUGACACUGAUUCUGGAUCAAGCUUAUCACGGUUUGAAGAUAAUAUGAGGUAAAACUCAUUUUCAAGCCUUUUCAUGGCCGUUUGCAUGAGGUUCUGAGCAAGUACAAGUUUGUCAGAAGUUGAAUCUUCUGAGACGAAAAAAUGCAUAGCUCUUCUCAAAUCUUUGACACUUUUUAGAAACUGCUUUGCUUCUUUUCUGUUAUGCUGAAAGAUAGAGGUGACUUUGGUGUAUGUUGAAGAAUUAGUGUCCCAUUUGGUGAUGAUUGAUUCUGCAGUUUCAAUGGUUUCUUCCAUCAUUGAAUGGGAGAAUGCAUGAUGGACCGGGGUGGGAGGAGCAGAACCACUAGGAAUCGAGGAAGAAGAAGGAAGGAGCGAUUUCGAGGAUGGGAAGAACAGAGUUGACAGUACUUUUCUUCCCAUGACCGUGUUGGUCCUAGCAGUUCCCAACACCCCCAUUAGGCUUUAAAGACUGAACCGAAAAAAGAAAGAACUUUACGAUGUAAAAGAUGAAGCUCCAAUUUUUGAGAGCUCGUUGUGAUUUGCUUGGUUUGUGAUUUAUGCUUUGUGGUUCUGCUCUUGAAGGAGUUUUAUAAUGGAAACAGCCGCAAGUUUCCAGUUGAGGAAGGUGUAUUUUUAGACCAAGAAACCAUUGACUGACUCAAGUUGAUGUAUGCUUGUCCCCCAUAAUAGGAGUUUCUUGAGUGGACUUAUGAUUACAUAUUACAUAUUUUAUGACAGUAUGGAUCAUGAAAAUAGUUUAAAAAUCCUUGACAAUCUCUCUAGAUUAUAUCUUUACCAUGUCUCCAAAGGUUUCUGACUUGCAACUUGUUUUGGCAGGAUUUUGGAGAGGAGAUAGUAAUCUUCAAAGCCAGGUUUUAGGAUGAAAGUCCAAAUCAAGAAAACCCAGAUAAGCAGAGAGAGAGAGAGAGAGAGAGGUUAUGGUACAUAUUGGGUGUUCAGUGGUAGAUUUUCAUUGUCAAAUUAUUACUUUAACCUUCACCAGUGAUUUUACUGUCCAGCAAAUGACAUAUCCUUCUUUCUAGCUUCGUCUUAUGGUUUCUUUGACUCGUUUGAUUUAUCCCCCCAACACCAGCAGUUACUGGCCAAUGAGUAACAAAAAAGAAAAGUAAGUUGUUUUGCAAAAAUAAAUUCAAUUAAGUUGAUAAAUCACUUGGGUGAUUACUCAAAUUGGUUUAUAAGCUAAAAAUAAAACCAAAAUUCUAUAAAUUAUUUAUUUAUUUAUUUAUUUCUUAAAUAAUUAUAAAUAUAAUAAAAAUAAUGAUAAAGGAGAAAAUUAAGGUGGGCCCCACUGCCACUAAGAAAAUAAAAUGAAUUUUAAGAAGAUUCCAGAAUUCAAAAACCAGAAAAACAAAAAGGAAGAGUUGACGCUCUCCCUCGCGCACUUCUGCUUCUAAAGUUUGUCAAAACCGAGUGAGUUGACUCACAAGGAUUAUAAUCUUUUGGGUUUUUCUUUAAUUAUUUAUUUAACCCAAUAAAUAUAAUAUAAUAUGUAUACAUACAUAUAUAUUAUAUUCAAUAUAUGAACGUGAGUCAGUUCAAAAAAUAAUAAAAUGAACGCAUAUAUACUUGUUUUCAUGUAUUAUGCGUGUGUGUGUGUGUAUAUAUAUAUAUAUUAUUCUUUUACGUAAAGAGGGAAUUAAAUCCUUAAUCAGACCCUUCAAAGCUUACGUGUUGAUUAACAAUAAUUUUACAAAAAUAAUAAUUUAGUAAUCAUGUUCAUUAGUCUCCUAAUGAUUUGGAUUUGCUGGCGCAUUUAGAUGCCAUUAGAUGCCAAACAUAUUCAAAGAUUAAUUGGAUUAAUUACAUCAUUGGGGUUUGGGUUGACCAAAUCGUUUUUGCAUUAAAUUUUAAUUUAUUAAUUUGUUAAUUUACUUAACUUAAUAGGUGAGUUAUCUAUUACGUAAUUGUUAAUUAUUAUUUUUAAUAUUUAUAUAAUUAUGAAGAGUAAGAAAAAACAAAAACAAAAUUAAAACCUAGAAUAUGAUCGAAUUAAAGGUUUGAAUUGGUCUUGAUAAUUGCACAAAGAUAAGUUGUGAUCACCAAAUUAAAAAUACUACACAUAUAUAUAUAUAUAUAUAUAUAUACACACACACACACUCGUUGCUUUCAACAAGUGUAGAUUAUGUUAUCUUGUAUGUUAUUUAUAUAAAUUGAUAUGGAUGGUAAUUAGUUUAAUUCAUUUAUGACUUUAAUAAACAAGAUAGUUGACCAAGCGAGCAAGGUCUAUAGUAUUAAUUUUUAACCUAUAAAUUCUUUGUUUUUUUAAAAAAAAAACAAAUUAAGUAAACCUAAACUAAUGCUUUAGAUGAAGUCAUUUUCAGGUGAGGGAAAAUGCUGAUCACAAAAAUUUCCUUCAUGGGUGAAAUGCUAUACAUACAUACAUACAUAUAUAUAUAUAUAUAUGCAGAGGAGAGAAAACUGAAUCACAAUAUUAUCUUGAACCAAACUUCGAAGAUUUUGGAUAUGAUAAGCGAGAGAAGAUUAGUAAUUUAAGCUUUGACUUUGACUUUAGGUGUGGAUUAAGAAUCUUUGAAGAAGGAAAAGAAAAAGAUGUUUGGCAAAUCAAGAAUUGUGAGAUACCCACAAGCCACAAUCAUAGACCAACUUAAUCAUUUAAAAAGAAAUUUCAAAUGAAAUUGUUUUAGUGGGAUAUGUAUAUGUAUGUGUAUGUGUAUGUGUAUGUGUAAUUCACUAAAUAGUUUUAUUUAAUACUCAUCAUAUAACAGGGGGAAAAAAUAUAUAUAUAUGUUUAGAAACAUUGAUAUUUUGAGGUUUUCUAAUACCUAAUUUCUUAUUAUUUUAGGGAACAUAUCAUGCAAUUACCAGAUGAUUGAAUACUUGAACAUGUGAUUAAACAAAAUCAUCAGGUAAGAAUUUUUGUAACAUCACAGCACAAUUAAGUCUAUCCCAUUGCAUAAAAGUAUUUAUAGACUGAUGGUUGCAUAAAAGUACUCAAGUUUUUAUUCAAUUUCUACACGAUUUUUAUGUCAAGUUUUAUUCAUAUAAUUUAUUAUGUUUAAAUUAUAAUUACUUUGAUCUUAAAUCUUAAUGAAUAUUCCAGUACUUGAUUUUUUUUUUUUUGGAGAAAAUAAAAUUAAUCCCUUAAAUUAAACAGAAUAAAUCAUAACCCAUAAAAGUAGAAAUUGCAAAAAAAAAAAACAAAAAAAACAAGAGGUUGCAAAGUCAUCCAUCAACAUGACAAAGGACUCCAUCCAUGAAUAAGAAACUAUUAACUUAAUAUCAUCAUCAAUUACUACUGGCCAAAUAUCAGAUUUUGCAGUUUUUAUUUCCAUUUUAUCAUCUUUAUAUAUUGUGUUCACACUUCUAUUUUAUACAAUCAAAAUUUUAAAAAUUAAAUUCUCACCAGAAAUUAAAACAAAACAAGUCUACUCAAAACUCUCAGAACAUCAAUGAAUUUCUUCUAUAAACUCUCUACUCUUUCACCAACAACAACAGAUCAUAUCAAAUCAUUCCCAAGAUCGAGUUAACAACAACCGCAAAAUCCAUCUCCCCCUAUGUAUGUAUAGGCCAGUCAAUUUCUUUUUCAACCACGUUUGCAAACUUUCUUUAGCCUUACAGGUAUUACCUAUGAACUACAUUUCUAUCCAAACUUGAAUCCAACCACACAAUCUAAAUUCAGACUGAACCGAAACUCAAACUAUCUUAAUUCCAAAAGUUCAAACACUCAACAUAUGAUAUCAUAUAUAACCUUAAAAAACCACCUGAUACAAAAGAAAAUUGAAAAGCCACCUGAUAGACACCAUAAAUCAAACGAAACUAUAACCUUAAAACCUCUCCUCUUGAAAUGCAUUCAAGCCUAAACCUUCUAUCGAGCUCAGACCCAAACAAAAACUCUCCUCAACUUGACUACAUUGGAAAAAUUCGAAACAUGGAAAAUAUUAAAAGAAAAUAUACAAAGGAAAACCAGUAAAAGCCGAAAAAUAUCCAAUAAAAGCCAGAAAGGAAUUCAUUAUAAUGGAAUAGAAAUUCUCCUCUUAACUACCACACACAUCAAAAAGGUAGACGCUUUCAUUUAAUAUGAGAAAACAAUUUAACACUAAGUCAAACUCCACAUUCAGGAAGACAAACAUAAAAAAAUUUGCGAGAUUCUAAAAUAUCAUAUCUGACCUAUCUACCCUAAACCUUAAUGGCAUACUUCCUCAUGGGAAAAUACAUUUCCUUCUUCUUCUCACGUUCCGUCUUCAGCGAUGCCUGUUAAGUCAAAACAUGUCAUAGGCAUUAGGAAAAUAUGAAAAAGUCAGCAAGCAAGCUCUUAAGAAAGUUCGGUUGCAAGAACAAAGAAAUGCAUAGAAACUGUUGGAAACCUCCUCUGCAUUGAGGUUCCAAUACAAUCGGCACAACUUCAAAUCUCUUCGAAUUAGUAAAAGAAGACAAAAUAACCAUAUUCAGCACAGUGAAAUUUAGAUAUGAGAGCAGCCAAUUGUACCACGCUAACAUAACUGAAUAUCUAUAGGUCAAUACAGAAAAGUCUAAAUCGAAUAAUCAACUAUGCUCGUGAUAAAAGGACAAUCAAAUAGUCACAAAAUCUAGUUAUCUAAGACAACAGCCUAGCCUCCAAAAAGUAAUGGCAAAACAAUAUUCAUAACAAGAAAUCAAGAGUCGAACUUUAUGGUAAAGCAUUAUCUAUAUCACAAUAUGGAAGAGCAAAACUCCUAAAUUAUUCAAUUAAAACUUUGAAGAACAAAAUUCGAAUGCAGAGUCUUCAUCAUCAAAUGAAAGCAAAAAUGGAAAGACCAAAGAAUCAAAGCAGCAUGGUACCUGGUGCUUGGUUAGCCUUCUCCUGAUGGCUCUUGUCUUCUUGGGGCGCAGAUCAAGUGGCAAGUACUUCUUCUUCUUGUAUGCCUCCCUCAGUGCAGCCUUCUGCUUUUGAGAAAUAACAGUCAACACCUGGGCAAUCGACAACCUCACCACCUUGCUGCACUCCAUUUAAAUUGAGAAAGUAAAGGUACGAACAUCGUAGGAAUAACACGACUAUACAAUCUACGCAACAACACAAAGAGAUAGGGAGAGAUGAACAUACAUCUUGGAUAGCUUAUUAGGAGCACCGCCUGUGACUUUAGCGACGCGCAGGAGUGCGAGCUCGGCCUUCAGAUCCUUCAGCUGGUUCAACAGAUCAGCCUUCGACUUCUGCCUAAGCUCGUGAACCUUGAUCCUCGCUGCUCAUAUCAUAUUACCUCCAUGUUUUAGUAAAAUGAAACAGAAAAUAAAGAAGAACACGCAGAAGGAACAUGAUUAUCUGAAGACGCAGUAAAGAAAGGAGACGGUGAGAAUGAAAAUCACAUUACCCAUUGUCGUCGGCCGGUUCCUGUCUCUGUUUCGCAAAACCCUAAAAAAUGAGGAAAGACUUAGGGUUCCGUUUACCGUAACUUUAUUUAUAUAUGUAGCUGCGGUAAGGCAAAAGGGAAAAACAACAUUUUAUAUGUAGCUUUAUCCCUGUAAAUAAAAAAUAGAGUGUUGCUGGGCUGGGCUUGAAUUUUUUAAAGAGUUUGAUAAAAAAAAAAAAAAGAGGUGAAUUUUUCUUUUUCUUUUUUUUAAAUAUUAUUAUAUGUUCUUAAAUUAAAUUUGAAUUUAGAAUCAAUUUUCUUAUUUUUUUUUAUUUAUUUUAAACAUAAUCUUGGAGCCGUACUAAAAAUAUUCUAAUUUCACUUCAAAAUGGGGAUAAAAAAGUUUACUAGAAUGUAAAAUUAAAGAAUAUGUAUCAGUAUAAAUAUUUCUCGAGAUAGAAUUUAUAAUCUUUUAAAAGAAAAUAUUAUAUAGUUUAUACUCCUAUGUGUAAAGUUCUAUUUGUGCAUGUAUUUUUUUUAUUUAUUGAUUCAUAUUCAAAAGAAAUUAACAUUUGAAUCUACAAAGUUUUUAAGAUUCAUCAAAUCUAUUAAGCUAUUUUUGGGUUUUAAUAUCAUAAAAAUAUUUUAAGAGUAGACUGAAUUCAUGACUAACAAGUUUCUGCAAUGGGGCACUCUGGAAUAUCAUUAGUUCUGUAAUGAUGAUGCAUCUGAUAAACUUUGCAACAUACAACAAAUGAUUAAGCAAGAAGACAUCCAUUAAUCUUAACUUAAACACAAAAUUUGCACAAGAGACAUACUCUUAUUAAAAGAUUCUAGAAAAUUGAGUAAACAAAAUGAGUUUCAGUAUCUACUUUUACAUGUCCAGAAAACAGGUAUUUUUACUAAUUCUGCUACUUAACAAAAAGGUCAUCAUUUUCUAUCUAAUUACAAUUUUGUCAUUCUAUUUACAAAUCGACCUCGUAUCAUAUUCUUUCACCCCCUCCAUAGGCUGGAGUAUACAUAUUGUCAAUACCCAGCUUGAGUAUAGCAUUUUUAAAUAAAAGAGGAGGCAAGAGGUUUGGUAAAGCAAUCUGCAACUUGAUGAGAAGAAGAAAUGGGCAGCAGCCGAAGGACCCCAUCUCAAAUUUUCUGGCGAACCACGUGGCAAUCGAUCUCAAUGUGUAUAGUAAAACAGAGAUUUCAGCUAUUUUGAUAGCAGAAGAAUUAUCACAGUAGACCAAAUUUGUACCUACAGAUUCAACCUGCAAAUCAUGAAAUAAAUAAAGCAGUCAUUGUAUCUCACAAUGACUGACCCAAGAAAACACAAUAACCAGUUAUGGAUUUACGAGAAUCUGCACAUGUCCCCCAAUAUGAAUCACUAAAGCCUUUGAGUUGCAAAGAAUUUUGUCCAGGAUAAAACAACCCCUGACCUGGAGCAUUCUUCAAAUACUGUAGCACCCGGUGUGCAGCUUGCAUAUGACACCCUGUCAGUGCUUCUAGGAACUGCAAAAGUUGUUGCACAGCGAAGGUAAUAUCCAGCCGAGUGUGGGUGAGAUACAAGAGUUUUACAAGUAGUUGCCUGUAAGUGGUGUUGUCAACGGCUGGAGAACCAUCACUCUUGCUCAAUUUAACGGAAGAAACCAAGGGAGUAGCUGCUGGUUUGCUUCCUAAAAACCCAAUUUCAGAUAGAAGGUCCAACAUAUACUUUCUUUGACAUAUGUUGAUACCUUUAUCUGAACGUGCCACUUUAAAUCCAAGAAAAAACUUCAACUCUCCAAGUUCCUUGAUGCCAAAAGUUUUAUGGAGGAAAGUCUUUAUAUCUUGAACCUGAAAUAGACAGUUGCUGGCAACAAUUACAUCAUCAACAUAUAUCACUAAGGCAAUAAAGGUGGAACCAGAAUGUUUAAUGAACAAGGAUGAGUCGGCAUGAGCUUGCACAAAUCCCUUUCCUUUCAAGGCUUCAGUAAGCUUGAAAUUCCAUUGUCUACUAGCCCAUUUUAAACCAUAAAGACUCUUUUCUAGCUUGCAAACUUGAUCUGUGGCAGCAUUAAAACCUGGUGGAGGCAGCAUAUAUACUUCUUCUUGAAGGUCUCCUUAAGGAAGGCGUUGUUAAUGUCAAGCUGAUGGAGAAUCCAUCCCUUGGCAGCAGCUACAGCAAGCAGCGUUCUAAUAGUGGCAACGACUCCAUCAUUAAAAUCUGUGUUUUUACAAUAUCAAAUGGCUCAUUUAAACCUUUGAGAAAUCUUGUUACCCUAUCUUCUUCUUGAUACCUUUUACAUUUACAGUCACCAUUUUCAGUAGGUCUUAAAUUCAACAACUCAUCCCACAGAAUUUUAGCCUUGGUAAAAUACUCUGUUACCGAGCUCACUCCUUUCAGCAUAAAAAUCUCAUCCUGGAGGUCCGAAAUUAUUACUAAAUCUCCUUGGCCAAAUCUAUCAUGUAAGUCCUUCCAUAAAUCUUUUGCAUAAUCAAAAGACACUGAACUUUGUGCUAUGACAAGGGAUAAGGAUCUCAUGAUCCAUGACAACACCAUAAGUAUUACACCUUUCCCAUGCCUCAUAUAUCGAAUCCUCUUUACUAGGAAUAGGAAUCGUUCCAUCAACAAAUUUCAUUUUAUUCUUGGUAAUCAACGACAUCCUAGCAAAUCUUGACCAAUUGUAAAAAUUGUUACCUGCAAGAAGCGCGGAUGUCAACUGCAGUGAGGGACUUUCGUUCGGGUGCAGGUAGAACGGAUUCGAAAUACUUCCUUCAAAACUUUGAUGAGUCUGUGCUGGCUGAAGUUUCCAUGUGUACUUGUUAGGCAGCAAACAUCAAUCCUCAAGAUAUCAAGUUCCGUCUUCAAGAACUUAGGGUUUUCGACUUUACAAAAUCAAAAUCGAAGGAGAAACUCAAUUGCUCUGAUACCAUGUUAAACUUUGCAACAUACAACAAUGAUUAAACGAGACGACAUCCAUUAAUCUGAACUAAAACACAAAAUUUGCAGAAGAGACAUAUUCUUGAUUGAAGAUUCUAGAAAACUGAGUAAACAAAAUGAGUUUCAGUAUCUACUUUUACAUAUCUAGAAAACAGGUAUUUAUACUAAUUCUGCUACUUACAAAAAGGACAUCAUUUUCUAUCUAAUUACAAUUUUGCCAUUCUAUUUAUAAAACAACCUCAUAUCAUUUCUUUCAGUGGAAAAUAUAAUAAUUGUACAUGGCUAUCUUUUCCUCUUUCGACCAAAAAAUGGAAUCUUGUCAUUCCCAAGAUCAAGUUCACAGCAACCUUAAAAUCCAUCGCCUAUAUUCAUUUUUCAAUGGCGUUUAUUGGCUUUCUUUCUACUCACUCAGUCAUACAUACAAAAGAUGCCACAUUGUAUAUUCAUAAACUUAUAGGUAUACUUAAGAACUAGGUUACCACAUAUCUAUGAACUCAGAAAUACAAGCAAAUCACCCAACUUCAAUCUAACUUCAAACUAAGUUCAAACUCAAAUUAUCUUAACAAUUCCAAUAACAUCAAAAUUUUAAUAUCGUAUUAUAUAUUACUAAAUAAUAUUAGUAUGGAAAACUGAUGAACACCAGUGGUCUAGUUGUUGAAUAUUGAUAUGGAAAACUGAACAAGAUUAGUCAGAAAAUAUGAAUACCCUAUUUAUCAACACAACCAUAAGUCAAACAGAACUACAACCUCAAAACCUCUACCAUUAAAAAGAAUUCAAGCUUAAACCUUCAAUCAAACUCAAAGCCAAACAAAAACUCUUCUCAACUUGAUAACAUUGGAAAAGAGACAAUCAGAGAAACUGCUAAAAGAAAACAUAGGAAGAAAAUACACUAAUCUGGCAAAAAAAUAAGAUUCCAAUAAAAAAACAGAGAAAUUCAUCAAAAAACUAAGCACCUUCAAUUAAUAUGGGAAAACCAUUACAAACUAGCUCAAACUCAACAUUCAGAAAGACAAAUACUCAAAAUUUGCGGAUCAAAUAGGUUUAUAAUUUGCGAGGUCCUACAAAACAUCAUAUCCGACAGAUCUACCCUACACCUUAAUGGCAUACUUCCUCAUGGGAAAAUAUAUUUCCUUCUUCGUCUCACGUACUGUCUUCAAUGAUGCCUGUGAAGUCAAAACAUGUCACAGGCAUUAGGAAAACAUGAAUAAUUUAGCAAGCAUGUACUUACAACAGUUCAGUUGCAAGAACUAAGAACUGGUGGAAACCAAAAGAAUUCAAUAAGUGUAGCCAUUCUUCCUUUUCACAAAACAAUCGAUAGAGACUUUAGGGAUUCUCUGCUUCAUUGAGGCUCUCUAAUAUUAUCAGCACAAUUAAAAGUUCUUUAUAUUUGUAAAAGCAUACAAAACAACAAGAUUCAUCAAAGUGAAAAUUUAGAUAUUGGAGCAGCCAAUUGCACUACACUAACAUAACUGGAACGAUUGUUGGUCACUACAGAAAUUGGAAAUUGGAUAAUCAAACACGGACGUGGUUAAAAAGAAUCAAAAUAAUAACCGAAACUAGUUAUGUUAAAUAACAGCUUAGGACCAAAAUGCAAGGGGAAAAGACAGUAUUCAUAAAAAUGUUUUUUUGUUCUUUUUGAUCUCCCUCGAAAAGAAAUCAAUAGCUGCAUGUACGGUAAAAAAUUAUCAAAAACACAACAUAAAGCAACGUAACCCUGUAAAUUAUUCGAUUAAAACUUUUAAUUCUAAUACAAAAACUUCUAACGAGUGCAAGCAAAAACGGAAAGAGCAGAGGAUCGAAGGAGCAUGGUACCUGGUGCUUGGUUAGCCUUCUCCUAAUGGCUCUUGUCUUCUUGGGGCGCAGAUCAAGUGGCAAGUACUUCUUCUUCUUGUAUGCCUCCCUCAGUGCAGCCUUCUGCUUCUGAGAAAUCACAGUCAACACCUGGGCAAUCGACAGCCUCACUACCUUGCUGCACUAAACCAAAAUUGAAAAAGUCAAGGCAUGAACGCUCAUAGCAAUAGCACGACCAACCUAAGCAACAUCACACGCAGAUGGAGAGAGAUUAACAUACAUCUUGGAUAGCUUAUUAGGAGCGCCCCCUGUGACCUUCGCGACGCGCAGGAGCGCGAGCUCGGCCUUCAGAUCCUUCAGCUGGUUCAACAGAUCGGCUUUCGACUUCUGCCUAAGCUCGUGAACCUUGAUCCUCGCUGUUCAUAUCAUAUUACCUCCAUGUGUUAGAAAAUGAAACAGAAAAUAACAAAGAAUACACCGGGGGAACAUGAUUAUUUGAAGAUUAGAAAUAAAGGAGACGGUGAGAUUCAAAUGCACAUUACCCAUUGUCGACUGCCGGUUCCGAUAUCUGCUUCACAAACCCUUAAAAAUGAGGAAAGAAUUAGGGUUUCACUUUGUCUAACUUAAUAUACGUAUUAUCCCUGUAAAUUAAAAAAAAAAAAAAAAGGAAAAUAGAUGGUGGGCUGAGCUUUAGUUUUAAAAGAGUUGGAAAAUAAGCCCAAAAAAUGUUUUAUAAAAUAUGAGGUGAAUUUUUCUUUUUUCUUUUUUUUUAAUGAUAUUAGAAUUUAUAUUAUGUGUUAUUAAAUUAAAUUUAAAUUUAGAAUGAAUUUUUUUUAUUUUUACUUAUUUAUUUUAAAUAUAAUCUUAAAGUCUUACUAAAAAUAUUCUAAUUUCAUUGUGAAAUGAGGAUGAAAUUCUAUAAAAGAGUAAUUAUUGAGAUGUAAAAUUAAAAAUAUGUUUCAAAGAUAUACAACUUAUAAUUUUUUGGGAAAAAAAAAACAUUAUAUAGAUUGUAGCCCAUGCCUCCAUCUGCCUUAGUGAGACAAAUCUUUGACCAUGUGAAUCUUCUUUACCCCUCCUUACACAACAUACCAAAACUGUAUAAUUAAUCCCUUCAAAUUGCAAAUAAACAUUUUUGUGAAGCAAUAAGAUAUUCAUACUGUAACGGCUCCAGAAAUUUAAAAGGAAAUACAUAUAAUAAUCUGAAUACGGAAGCGAACUAAAAUACUAAGGUUAAUAUCCCUUAUACAAUAACUUAAAAGUACUAAAUAAUAUCAUAAAAUAAGUUCUCUCAAAUAAAUAGGAAAAAAUAAAGGAAACUAUAAGAUAUCUAGCAUCUACUCGCCGUCUUCUUGUGGAUCGGGUUCGGGAAUCAGGUCCUCCUGAUCUGAAAUGGUUAAGUAAGGAAUAAGUUACACUAACCCAAUGAGGACAUCACACUAUUACCGUCACAGAAGUAAAGGCCGGUAAAAAACUAAAAACAACAAAUAGAGCACAUAUUUUAAACAAAUUUAUUUAUCAAUAAUUAAACCAUUUACCGUCCACUUACCGCAAUGAGAUUUAUAAAAAUAACCUAUAGAAACAAUAACAUUAUAAAUAUCAUGAAUUCAUAUAUAAUCUGUAACAUAGCACAUAUCAUACUUUUAUAUUCAAAUCAUCAAACAACAAUUGCUCCUUUUUAUCAGCCUACUAGUAUCCAUGGGGACCCAUAGGGGUCCCCGCUACACGUGAACCAUUCCCCUUAACAAACUUAAUUCUACGGCCGUCCCUACACCCCGUCCGAUAUGAGCACCAAAAUAAUAAACCUCAAUACCUCGUCUAGUAUGAGGGUGAAGUGGGUCGUCCCCAAACUCCGUCCGGUAUGAGGGUGAAGCAGGCCGCCCCAUACCCCGUCCAGUAUGGGCGUCAAAUCACCAAGUCUCCAUACCCCGUUCGGUAUGAGACAAUGUUCAUGGUAGGGUUCCCUAUGAACCCAGCCCGUCCACCAUCUCUUAGGAUAUCUAGUGAGGCUGUCAUCUUAUCCAUUUAUCAAAUCACACCCCCAUUUCCUAUUUUUUCUUAGUCUCCGUUACUAAUUCAAACAUGAAUACUUAAACAAGUAACGUGCAUCCAACAAGGCAAGCAUAUCUUAGAUUCCAAAAAUCAAACAGUAUUGAAGUAAACAGUGAUUCAUGCAUUCAAAAACAUAGAAUAAAUAAACUAAAUACCAUAAUGCAUUUAAACUAUAAAAUAAAUCAAACAAGAAUUGACAGAGAAAUAUAUCCAGUUCGGGCUCCAUUAGCAACCAUAAUUAAUUAUGCAUAUCUAUUUAGUUUGUACAAAAUACAGUAUUAUCAUUUAUUCAGACUUCAAUUCCAUGAUAGGAAAUAGAGUGAGGGGUCCUUACGUGAUUUGAUGCUGAAAACUAGAAUUUCACUGCGCCUACGGGCGGUCCCUCGGUUUCCUGAAUUUUUAUCGGAAACUGAAACGCACUUAUGGUACCUACACAUGUCCAAAAUAAUGCAAAAAUCAUACCUAGGGCCUAUUCGGCGAAUUUUGGAAUUCUGGCACGACAGCUCUGUCGUGUUUCGGUGAAGGCGAUCCGCCUUGGGUUUGCUAUUUUCGACCGUUUUUGGCCGAAUUCAGCCAAACUUGCAUCAGUUCCUGUGAGAAAACACCCUUUGAACCCUCGGUGGGCCGAAAAAACACAGAAAACAUAAACUUACCGGUGGUGGGGCUCUCCGGUGCGGUGACUCCUCCAGCUCACGUCGCGAUUUGGUGUUUUGCUCCGAUCAACCUGUAAAUGAGGAAACCGUGAUCACAAAGGUGAAAAAAUCACAUUGAACAGGAAUCGGAAAGGGCCUCAUCGGAGGCAAAAAUUGAGACACCCUGCGGCGGCGCCGCUAGGCUUCGGUAGUGUUUUUCGGCCAAUUGAUCGGUGAUUUCGCUCCGAUUUGGCCAUAAAUGGGUUUAGAAUCGAAUUCUGAGCAAAAUGUAGAAUUUUUACCUCGUUUGGCGACCAGAAAUUGCUCUGGUACGGCAGCGGGUGGUGACGGUCGGCUCCCCGGCGGUGGGCUGUCUUCCUCGACGAGGGGCUUUAGCUGCUAGGGUUAGGGUUUGGGUGCGGAUGAGAUUAUUUAUAACCAUCCACUUUUGAUCUGAACCGUCCAUCGCAUUUAAUCUGAACCGUCCAAUCACGAUUAAGUAGAAAAUGAAUAUGGAUCAUUCAUCGCGAUUCAAUUUGGACCAUCCGUACUCGAUGCAAUCUGGAUCGUCCGUGUGCGAAGCAAUCUGGGUCGUCCGUAUGCGCGGGAACGGAUCUAAGCCAUUCGAUCGCGCACACGUGGAUCACCCAUGUAGCUCCUUUCUGCGUGGUCUCCCACGUCAGCAUCUCUGCCACGCAGCGCGUCCUAGUUGGUCGGGGCUGCUAACCGGGUAGCUGACGUGGCGCAAUUUUUUUAAAUUACUUUUUGGCCACAGGUUUUCAAUUUUUCUUUCAAAAAUACCAUCAUAAUCCAAAUUUUUAUCCCUUUUUCCAAAAUUAUUUUCAAUUAAAUCCCUAAAUAAAUUUUAUCCCUUAUUAUUAUUAUUAUUAUUAUUAUUAUUUCUAUUUGAAUAAAUUAAAUUAAAUUAAUAAUAAUAAAAUUUUAAAAAAAAAUUCUUGGGUUUUACAACUCUCCCCCUUUUAAAGAAAUUUGGUCCCUCAAAUUUGCUUUUUACUCUCGAUCGAACAACUGGGGGUACUGGGCUCUAAAGUUUGAUUCUAGCUCCCACGUAGCCUCAUUUGGUGUGUGGUUUUGCCAUAUGACCCUUACAAAGGAUAUUUCCUGGUUGCGGAGUAAUCUACUCUUUCGAUCCGUAAUGCCGACUGGUACUUCCUCGUAGGAUAAGUCUUCCUAGAGUGUGAGGAGUUCGUGGAUCAAGAUAUGAGAGGGGUCCGGGUUGUACUUACAUAGCGUGGACACAUGAAACACAUUGUGGACCUUGGAAAGCUCUGGAGAUAGUGCUAGUCUGUAGGCGGCGGUACCAAUCCUGUCUAAGACUUCAAAUGGUCCAAUAAAUCGGGGGUUCAGUUUUUGCCUCCUCCCGAACCUACUAAUUCCCUUGAAAUGAGUUACCUUAAGGAACGUCUGGUCGCCUUUCUCAAACGCUAAAUCUCUCCUCCUGGUGAACACUCUUCUGUCUGUUCUGAGCCAUUUGAAUGUUCCUCCUGAUCUUAACUAUCUUGGAUAUGGUCUCCUUUACUAGCUUUGGGCCAAAUAAUUUUCUAUCGCUCACUUCUUCCCAACAAAUCAACGAUCUGUAUGGGCAUCCAUGUAACACCUUAUACGAAGCCAUGCCAAUGCUCACUUGGUAGCUGUUGUUGUAGGCAAACUCUAUCAGGGGCAGACGGUCGUCCCAAUGCCCCCAGAGUAAAGGAAACAAGCUCGAAGCAUAUCCUUAAGUGUACGGAUUGUCCUUUCUAAUUGUCCAUCAGUCUGAGGGUGAAAGCAGUACUGAGGGACAGCUUCGUUCCCAUGGCUUGCUGAAAGCUACUCCAAAACCGAGAAGUGAACCUGGGGUCCCUGUUCGACACCACUGUCACUGGAACUCCAUGCAAUCUGACUAUUUUUCGGAUAUAUAUUCUUGCCAACUUGUCCAAGGGAUCGGUCAUCCUAAUGGUUAGGAAGUGGGAGGACUUGGUAAAUCGGUCAAUAAUUACCCAGAUGGCGCCAUGUCAUGAGCGUGCCUUAGGUAACCCUGUCAAGUCCUUGGUGGUAUGUUCCCACUUCCAUUAUGGGAUCGGUAAAUACUGAAGUAACCUACCUGGGCGCUGAUGCUCUACCUUGACCUGCUGACAUACCAAGCAUUUAGACAUAAAGUCAACUAUGUCCCUUUUCAUCCCAUUCCACCAAAAUCGGGAUCAAUUGAUUUGGUACAUUUUAGUGAUUCCGGGAUGCAUGACAAACUUUGAGCUAUGGACCUCUGUCAUGAUGUCUCUCUUUAGCUCACUGUCACUUGUAACACACACCUUGUCCUGAAAUUGGAGUAACCAAUCGGCGGAGACUCGGAAUUUUGAGCUAACUCCUUGUUUUGCACUGCUAUUGAGGGCUACUAGGGCGGGAUCAAGUGACUGAGUUUCCCUUAUCAUCUGGAUUAACUCAGGCUGGAUGGUCAAAUGGCCCAAACAUGUGACGCUUCUCAAGUCCUGAAGUCGAACAUGUUGUGUAGCCCCAAUUUGCCUGCAUUUUGAUACCAUUAAAUGGGUUAAGAUACCUGCACUUUUUCUGCAGAGUGCAUCGACUACCAAGCUGCCCUUACCCGGAUGGUACAAUAUAUCACAAUCAUAGUCCUUAAAAAGUUCUAUCCACAUUCUCUGACGCAUGCUGAGAUUCUUCUGAGUGAAUAUGUGUUUCAAACUUUUGUGAUCGGUAUAGAUCCAAAAGGUCUCUCCGUAUAAAAUAAUGGCGUCAAGUCUUCAAGGCGUGUAUGAUUGCGACAAGCUCUAAGUCAUGGGUGAGAUAAUUUUUUUAAUGAAUUUUUAACUGUCUGCACCCAUAGGCUAUGACAUUCCCAUGCUGUAUUAGAACACAACCCAAGUCUAUAUAUGAGGCAUCAUUGUAAACUGUAUAUCCCUCCAAUCCAAUCGGUAAGGCCAGCACAGGUACAGUAGUCAGAUGCUUCUUUAGUUCUGAAAAACUUAUUUUACAGUCCCCAUUCCACUCAAACUUGGCAUUCUUUUUUGUGAGUCGGGUUAGGGGAGUCGCUAGACUAGAAAAUCGUUCAAUAAACCUGCGGUAAUAGCCCGUCAUUCCUAGGAAGCUACGGAUUUCUUUAACUGAUGUCAAUUUCUCCCAGCCGAGCACCGCUUCAACCUUUUCAGGAUUCACUAAUACUCCAUCCUUUGAUAUGAUGUACCACAGGAAAGUGGUCUGCUCAAGUCAGAAUCCACAUUUACUCAACUUUGCAUACAGCUUUUUUCUUCUAAGAACCUGCAAAACCUGGGCUAGAUGGUGAGCAUGUUCCUCUAUGCUUUUUGAAUAUACCAGGAUGUCAUCAAUGAACACGAUAACAAAUUGAUCUAAGAAUUGUCUGAAGACCAUAUUCAUCAGAUCCAUGAAGAUGGCUGGGGCGUUGGUUAGCCCAAAUGGCAUAGUGUCUGUAUCUGGUUCGAAAAGCCGUCUUGGGGAUGUCUUAUGUCCUUAUUUUUACCUAAUGGUAGUCUGAUCGCAGGUCUAUUUUGGAGAGACCUGCCACCCUGCAUUGAUCGAAGAAGUCAUCAAUCAUAGGAAGGGGAUACUUGUUCUUGAUUGUGACCAUAUUCAAUCCUCUGUAAUCAAUACAUAGUCUCAACGUUCCAUCUCCUUUUCUUGAAAAAGCGACUCCAGCACCCCAAGGGGACACAUUAUGUCUGAUAAAACCACUGUCUUGCAAAUCAGUGAUCUGUUUCCUCAACUCCUCCAUCUCAAUGCGGCUCAUGCGGUAAGAAACAACUAAAAUAGGCUAGGUGUCUGGCUGUAGAUCUAUGGUAAACUCGACUUCCCUGUCCACUGGCAGUCCGGGUAGUUCAUCCGAAAACACAUAUGGGAAGUCUCGGACUAUCAGAAUUUUUUGAAUAUAAUUCUCUUUAUUGGGUUUGCCUAGUUAGAGAAAAUAGCAAAGUUAAGGUACUCGACAAAUAAGAAAACUUGCCAUCAAGAAAUAAAUACUAAAUAAUUUUAUUAAUUUGUAAAUGGUUCCUCAUUAGGAGGAUUAAAUAAUACCUUCUUGCUAAAGCAAUCUACGGUGGCGUGAUACGCCGCUAGCCAAUCCAUCCCUAAGAUUACAUCAAAAUUCUCCGUGCCUAAUUUUAUUAGGUCUACACUCAGUUUUCUAUUUGUUAUCUCUACGGCACAAGCCCUGUAGACAACUUCUCCCAAUAGUGUUGCACUCCCAACAAUAGACACAAAUAACAUUGAAUCAAGUUUAUCAGGUAAUACAUUAAAUUUGGGUGCAAAAACAGGUGAAACAAAUGAAUGCGAUGCACCAAUGUUAAACAAAACAUGAGCAAGAUGGUUACAGAUAGUGUACAUACCUUGUACCACGUCCGGGUCGGCAUCGACCUCCUGUUGGGUGAGGUUGUAAGCUCUGCCAUCGAUAGGAGGUUUUCCCUGAUUCUGGUUCCUUGGGCACUCUCUUGCAUAGUGUUGGGCACUACCACAUAUACGACAGGUGUUGUUGAGGUGGUAGCAUGGUCAGUCUCCGUGAUCCCUGCUGCAAUGCUGACAUAUCUUACCACGUCCUGCCACUGGACCUUGAGGGGGAGCUUGGAUCAUCGGUCUGGGCCUCUUGCUCUGUUGGACAGGCGCAGUAGGUGCUAGUCUACGGGGCGGAGCUGAGAGUCUGUGGUUCCCUGCUGACUGAGGGAGGGUGUGGAGGCUCCUCUCCACUAACUGUGCCUUGGCCAGAACGGCCGAGUAUGUCCUGAGCUCUAGUACAAACAAAUGAUGUUUGAUCUCUGGGCAGAGGCCCCACUGGAACCUCCUAGCCUUCCUGCCCUCAUCCAUCAACGUCUCAGGGGAGUAUCGGCCCAACUCUAGGAACUUACGAGCAUAUUCUGACACCGUCAUGUUCCCUUGGACCAACUGGACAAACUCUAUCUCCUUCAGAUGUCGGAUAUGCUCUAGGAGGUACUCUGCAUGAAAGGCUACUAAGAACUUUUCCCAAGUAACUGGAACAAGCAGGGUGUUCUGCUUGAGUUCCCACUAGCGGUCUGCUUCUUCCACCAGCAUAUAGGUAACAAGGGUGACCCUCUGCUCAGGAGUCACUCCUAGGGUCUUGAAGGCCUUCUCUGUCUCCGCCAACCAGUAGUAGGCAUCUUCAAAAGAGGAUUCCCCUGCAAAAGUGGAUAGGUUUAGUCUCUUAUACCUCUCUACAUAACCUGGGUCAAUCAUGAAAUGAGCUAGGUCCAGCGGAAGCGGGACUGGGCCGGGCUGAUGAUAGACUGGGGGGCCAUGUGGUAGUACUUGCUGAUAUGGUGGGGGCACUGGAUUAUACUAUGGCGGUGCCGGACAGUACUGUGGCUGGGGCAUUGGAUUAUACUGCAGUGGUGGAACCGAGUGGUAUUGUGGAGGAGCAGGGUCGUACCGGGGUGGCUUGGGAUCCUCUCGCUGCAAUGGUGGCUCAACCUGUGGCAACAGGGGAGGGUCAGGUAGCUCCCUUCUAUCAUCUCGGCCCUGCUGGGCAGCAAUGAGUCUCUCCAGCAUCUCAAAUAUCUUGUCAACGUUUUCUUGAAGCGAACCAUCCCAGGCUGCUCGGUUUAGUGGGGGUCUUCCUCUUCUCAUUUCUCCGUACCUGCAUUUCACAAAGAAGGGUUGAGUAAUGAUUCAUUGGUUUGGUGUUUCUCUAAGUAUCAUUGUGUAAGGGACGAAUUCGAGGAAUGCGGCUCUAAUACUAACUGUAACGGCAUUAGAAAUUAAAAAAAAAAUACAUAUAAUAAUCUGAGUGCUGAAGCGAAAUAAAAGAUUAAGGUUAAUAUCCCUUACACAAUAACUUAAAAGUACUAAACAAUAUCAUGGAAUAUGUUCUCUCAAAGAAAUACGAGAAAUAGGAAAAAAUAAAAGAAAUUAUAAGGUAUCUAACAUCUACUCGCCGCCUUCUUGCGGAUCGGGCUCGGGAACCAGAUCCUCCUGAUCUGAAAUGAUUAAGUAAGGAAUGAGCUACACUAGCCCAGUAAAGACAUCACACUAUUCACUGUCACAGAAGUAAAUAUUGGUAGAAAACAAAAAACAACCAAUGGAGUACAUAUUUUAAACAAAUUCAUUUAUCAAUAAUCAAACCAUUUACCGUCCACUUACCGCAGUGAGAUUUAUAAAAAUAACCUAUAAAAAUAAUAACAUUAUAAAGAUCAUGAAUUCAUAUAUAAUCUGUAACAUAGCACAUAUCACACUUUUAUAUUCAAAUCAUCAAACAACAAUUGCCCUUUUUUAUCAGCCUACUAGUAUCCAAUGGGGAUCCAUAGGGGUCCCCACUACACAUGAACCAUUCCCCUUAACAAACUUAAUUCUAAGGUCGUCCCCAUACCCCGUCCGAUAUGAGCGUCAAAACAAUAAACCUCAAUACCCCGUCCGAUAUGAGGGUAAAGCGGGUCGUCCCCAUACCCUGUCCGGUAUAGGCGCCAAAUCACCAAGUCUCCAUACCUCGUCCGGUAUGAGACAAUGUUCACAGUAGGGUUCCCUAUGAAUCCGGUCCGUCCACCAUCUCCCAGGAUAUCUAGUGAGGCUGUCAUCUUAUCCAUUUAUCAAAUCACACCCCUUUCCUAUUUUUUCUUAGUCUCUCUUACCAAUUCAAACAUGAAUACUUAAACAAGUAACGUGCAUCCAACAAGGCAAGCAUAUCUUAGAUUCCCAAAAUCAAACAGUAGUGAAGUAAACAGUUAUUCAUGCAUUCAAAAACAUAGAAUAAAUAAAUCAGAUACCAUAAUGCAUUUAAACUGUAAAAUAAAUCAAACAGGAAUUGACAGAGAAAUAUGUCCGGUUCGGGCUCUAUUAGCAACCAUAAUUAACUAUGCAUAUCUAUUUAAUUUGUACAAAAUACAUUAUUAUCAUUUAUUCAGACUUCAAUUCCAUGAUAGGAAAUAGAGUGAAGGGUCCUUUCGUGAUUUGACGUUGAAAACUAGAUUUUCACUGCGCCUAUGGGCGGUCUCUAGGUUCCCUGAAUUUUUCUCGGGAACUGAAACGCACUUAGGUACCUACACAUGUCCCAAAUAACAGAAAAAUCAGACGCAGGGCCUAUUCGACCAAUUUCAGAAUUCUGGCACAGCGGCCGUUUUUGGCUGAAUCAGCCAAACUUGCAUCGAUUCCUGUGAGAAAACACUUUUAGGGCCCUCGGUGGCCGAAAAAAUACAAAAAACUGAAACUUACCGGCGGUGGGGCUCUCCGGUGCGGCAACUCUUUCGAAUCACGUCACAGUUUGGUGUUUUGCUCCGAUCAACCUGUAGAGAGGAAACCGUGAUCACAAAUGUGAAAAAAUCACGUCGAACAGGAAUCGGAAAGGACCUCAUCGGAGGCAAAAUUCGAGACACCUCGCAGCGGCACCGUUGGGCUUUGGCAGCGUUUUCUGGCCAAUUGGCUGGUGCUUUCGCUCCAAUUUGAUAGUAGGUGGGUUUAGAAUCGAAUUCUGAGCAAAGGGUAGAAUUUUUACCUCGUUUGGUGGCCGGUAAUUACUCCAGUACGGCGGCGGGUGGCCGCGGUCUGCUCCCCGGCGGCUGCGCUGUCUUCUUCGGCGAGGGGCUUUGGCGGCUAGGGUUAGCGUUUGGGUGCGGAUGAGAUUAUUUAUAACUAUCCACUUUUGAUCUGAGCCAUCCAUCACAUUUAAUCUGGACCGUCCGAUCGCGAUUAAAUAGAAAAUAAAUCUGGAUCGUUCAUCGCGAUUCAAUUUGGGUCGUCCGUGCGCGNNNNNNNNNNNNNNNNNNNNNNNNNNNNNNNNNNNNNNNNNNNNNNNNNNNNNNNNNNNNNNNNNNNNNNNNNNNNNNNNNNNNNNNNNNNNNNNNNNNNNNNNNNNNNNNNNNNNNNNNNNNNNNNNNNNNNNNNNNNNNNNNNNNNNNNNNNNNNNNNNNNNNNNNNNNNNNNNNNNNNNNNNNNNNNNNNNNNNNNNNNNNNNNNNNNNNNNNNNNNNNNNNNNNNNNNNNNNNNNNNNNNNNNNNNNNNNNNNNNNNNNNNNNNNNNNNNNNNNNNNNNNNNNNNNNNNNNNNNNNNNNNNNNNNNNNNNNNNNNNNNNNNNNNNNNNNNNNNNNNNNNNNNNNNNNNNNNNNNNNNNNNNNNNNNNNNNNNNNNNNNNNNNNNNNNNNNNNNNNNNNNNNNNNNNNNNNNNNNNNNNNNNNNNNNNNNNNNNNNNNNNNNNNNNNNNNNNNNNNNNNNNNNNNNNNNNNNNNNNNNNNNNNNNNNNNNNNNNNNNNNNNNNNNNNNNNNNNNNNNNNNNNNNNNNNNNNNNNNNNNNNNNNNNNNNNNNNNNNNNNNNNNNNNNNNNNNNNNNNNNNNNNNNNNNNNNNNNNNNNNNNNNNNNNNNNNNNNNNNNNNNNNNNNNNNNNNNNNNNNNNNNNNNNNNNNNNNNNNNNNNNNNNNNNNNNNNNNNNNNNNNNNNNNNNNNNNNNNNNNNNNNNNNNNNNNNNNNNNNNNNNNNNNNNNNNNNNNNNNNNNNNNNNNNNNNNNNNNNNNNNNNNNNNNNNNNNNNNNNNNNNNNNNNNNNNNNNNNNNNNNNNNNNNNNNNNNNNNNNNNNNNNNNNNNNNNNNNNNNNNNNNNNNNNNNNNNNNNNNNNNNNNNNNNNNNNNNNNNNNNNNNNNNNNNNNNNNNNNNNNNNNNNNNNNNNNNNNNNNNNNNNNNNNNNNNNNNNNNNNNNNNNNNNNNNNNNNNNNNNNNNNNNNNNNNNNNNNNNNNNNNNNNNNNNNNNNNNNNNNNNNNNNNNNNNNNNNNNNNNNNNNNNNNNNNNNNNNNNNNNNNNNNNNNNNNNNNNNNNNNNNNNNNNNNNNNNNNNNNNNNNNNNNNNNNNNNNNNNNNNNNNNNNNNNNNNNNNNNNNNNNNNNNNNNNNNNNNNNNNNNNNNNNNNNNNNNNNNNNNNNNNNNNNNNNNNNNNNNNNNNNNNNNNNNNNNNNNNNNNNNNNNNNNNNNNNNNNNNNNNNNNNNNNNNNNNNNNNNNNNNNNNNNNNNNNNNNNNNNNNNNNNNNNNNNNNNNNNNNNNNNNNNNNNNNNNNNNNNNNNNNNNNNNNNNNNNNNNNNNNNNNNNNNNNNNNNNNNNNNNNNNNNNNNNNNNNNNNNNNNNNNNNNNNNNNNNNNNNNNNNNNNNNNNNNNNNNNNNNNNNNNNNNNNNNNNNNNNNNNNNNNNNNNNNNNNNNNNNNNNNNNNNNNNNNNNNNNNNNNNNNNNNNNNNNNNNNNNNNNNNNNNNNNNNNNNNNNNNNNNNNNNNNNNNNNNNNNNNNNNNNNNNNNNNNNNNNNNNNNNNNNNNNNNNNNNNNNNNNNNNNNNNNNNNNNNNNNNNNNNNNNNNNNNNNNNNNNNNNNNNNNNNNNNNNNNNNNNNNNNNNNNNNNNNNNNNNNNNNNNNNNNNNNNNNNNNNNNNNNNNNNNNNNNNNNNNNNNNNNNNNNNNNNNNNNNNNNNNNNNNNNNNNNNNNNNNNNNNNNNNNNNNNNNNNNNNNNNNNNNNNNNNNNNNNNNNNNNNNNNNNNNNNNNNNNNNNNNNCGUCCACACCUCGACCCCAACAGGCCAUACACACACACAAUCCGUUCUCGCACGUCACCAACAUCGACGACUCAUGCUCCCUCCAUUACCUCUCGACCUUAUUAGGCCACACGCACACCAAGACUUCUUGCACAUGCCGGCGAUGUUCCCUCGCAAACCUUUAAAUUUAUAGUAACUAUACCAAACCAUCUCCCCUCACCACACUCCUAUUAUACCCCUACCAAUGUGUCCAUACUCACUCGUCCUAAACCAUACUCUAUAGUCCCCUCCUAUGCCAUCCCAAUCUCCAGCAACUACGUUCUUAUCCCUCGCUAAACCGACCUCUCCCUAGGUUCCAUAAGCCUCUUCCCUCACCCAAAAUUUUUCAUACAUGCCAAUUUCUAUUCCAUAGUCCCCUCCCUCUCACAGUCCGAACUCACACCGUCCCACUCACCAUGCACGUCCCUCUCACCCUCGCACAGUCUGAACUCACACUGUCACACUCCCCACACUCACCCCUCUCACCGGACACUCACCGAAUUCGUUCCUCCUGCUCAUUCCGCUCGCGACUCUCUCCGCACCCCCGCUCCUGCACACGACUCCCUUCGUCAUCUCGGAUUUCCCCACACACGCCAAACUGCUCACUCCCUUUUCCUCUCAGUGAUCUUCCCUCGGUGCUCACACUCACCGCACAUAACCUUCUCUCUCUCUCAUAGAUCUCUCGUACGCCCCAACGACGCCAUCCUCUCCUUCUCACGGCCUCCUCCGCGAACGUCUCUGCCAUUCCGUCCUACACUCCACCUCUCAGCUCUGCCCAGCUACCUACAGACUCCCUGGCCUUGGCAACCUGCAAAUAGCAUCACAACUCACCCAAUACCUACACAACCAAAGUUUUUAUCGUACCUUCCAUUUCCACUUUCCUUCUUCUUGCCGAUCGCACUGUUCGUCGUCCGCGGCUCUCUUCUCUCUCCCUUCUCGCUCCUCUCUGCUUCGACUCCCCUCUCUCUCUUCUGGAACCUUCUUCCCUCUCUUCCUUCCUCAUUCCCGCUCUCUUCCUUCCCUGCUUUUCUCUUUGCUUUUUUUUCCUCUCUUCCCUUUCCUUCCCGACCCCCAUUCAUAUCCUACCAGCUUACCCAAAACGACAUCGUUUUCUCCUUCCCAAAACGACGUCGUUCACCCCCUCCUAAAAUGACGUUGUUUUUCCCUAUUCAAAACGACGUCGUUUCUUCAAACAAGAUUUUUUUUUUCUUUUUCCCUUUUUUAGUUAUUACAUAUAAGAUUUAGCCAACAAUUCACAUCACUUAAAUUCUUCACUUCAUUUUUUUAAUUUUAUUUAUUAUAGAUCAGGAUGAUGCCAUAAUUUAGAUUUUUUUUAAAUAAAAAAUUAUUUUAAAUUUUUAGUACACUUUGACUCAAUCAAUUAAUACAAUAUAAUAGCUACAUAAUAUAUAUAUAUUUUUUUAAUCUAUAAAUAUAAUAAAUCUUUUAGAAGAUUAGUAAAUUCAAUCUUUAAUUCUAUUUAAUUAAGCAUUAUUGCAAAAUUAACUAAUAAUAUAUUCACAACAUAGCGAGCUUUAUGUCUUUAAUGACAUUCGAAUUUGUAACAUUAGUGAAUUCAAUCUUUGGUAUUUUUUAUACCUCUUUUUUAUAUAUAAAUUUUUUUUAAUCACGUCAAAAUUCAGUAAUUAGCUAUGUUAAGGUUCAAAAAUUUUCAAGUACGAUGACUCCGAUCUUAUUCCAAAAAUCAAAUUUUAAAUCUAUGUUAAUUUACUAUGUAUAUGUAUAAAGAUAUCUGUUUAUUUAUUUUUGUUUCAGCUCUUAGUUAUUUUUUGUAGCUUUCUUUAAAAAAAAAAAGAUUAAACUUUGUACUUAAUUAUCAAUAGAUAUUUUAGUUACUAAACUUCAAUUUCAUUGUUUUGAUUUAUAUAAUUUUUACAUUAGUAAAAAAAUUGUAAUUUCCAAAUUGAAUCACGUAAUGCAAAACAAUUUGAUUGGGUCUUAUUUGGCAAAUCACCACCAAAUGGUUAUGAUCAACAGUAAGGACAUUAAAGUGGAUUUAUUUUGUUGCUUUCAAUUGUGCCAUCCACAUUUGACCAAAAAAUGUACAAGUUUAUUAAUUUUCAUAUUUAUGAGAGUAAAAUAUUAUUAAUUGACUCUAUAUAUAUAUAUAUAUAUAUUUGUAAAAUUUAUUUCUCAAAUUAACAUAAAAAUUUGUUUGCAGAUAAAGCCAAAUAAACAACUAACAUUAUCCAACAUUCAUUGCAGGCCCUAAAUAAUUCAUCACAUACCUUACCACUAUAACUCCAAUCAAAUAACAAAAAGACAACAUUUUAUAAUUAUCAAAUUUUAUUUAUAUUCCUUCAUCUAUUAAUUAUAUUUUAUUAUAUUAUAUUAUAUUAUUUACUUUUGAUUCUUCUACAUAACAUUUUCUAAAUUUAUUACAAAAUCAAAAGAUGGGUAAUUUGGGAUUUCCAUGGCACGCAUAUAUAUAUAUAUAUAUAUAUAUAUAUACACACACAUAUUAACAUGCAUGAAUAUUGUCACUCUCUAUUUUGGAGUGUUUGUAUAAUGCUAAAUUAAUAGAUUAAGAGGUACGACAUUAGACAAAGCUCUUAAAUUUUGUCUUAAUAUAUGAGAAUUUGAAACUAAAAUACAUAUAUUUUUCUUUCACUAUAUAUUCUAAAUAUAAUUCAACAUAAAUAUGAAAAUUUAAAAUAUUCUUUAUUUAUUUAUUUAUUUAUUUUUAAAUAGAAGUGAGUUCCAGUGUGUAAAGGGUUUUGGUUGGUCAAAACUGGUGACUUCAAAUUUGGAAAAACACCACCGUUUCAUGACUCACUCCACGUCGUCAUCACCGUUGUUUAAGUAGGUCCCAGUCAAAAGCAUGUGGGACCCACUUCGUUUCAAAAUUUAAUAUUAUCCCGUGUAUUAUUAUUCUUUUUAACUUUACAAAAUUAAGUACCACGACCCUUUGAGUAAUAAAUUUCAUUAAUUUAUUAAAUUAAAAAUUCUUCUCUCAAACUAUUCAAACAAAAAUUAAUUAAUUUAAUUUUUUAUAUUAAAGAAUAAAAAAAUUAAAUAUUCAAAAUAAAUAAAAAAUAUUAUAAAUGAAAAUUUAUCCAAAAUAUAUUAGCACAUAAAGUAAUAAAGUAUAAAUUGAUACAUGCUUUAUCAAUAAAAUUUCAUCCUAUUCAAAGUAAAAUUUUUAACGUAAUAUCUUAAAACAAGUUAAGAAUUAAUUAUUACUAAUAAUUUAAGUUAAAUGUCAUAUCAAUUAUCCACUCGUACUAAAAAAAACAAAAUUAAUUAGGUUAGUAGUUUAAUUGCAUUAUUUUUUAUAUUUUAAAAAAUAAUUUUUUACUAAAAUUAGAUAAUUUAAAUGUAAUUUUCAUAAAAUUCUUCUUCUAUAAGAAAUUGUUAGUUUAAUUUGAAUUGUAUUCUUAUUUCUUAUUUAAAUAUUAUUUAUAUAAUAUUAUGAUUUGUGUUUAUACAUCAUUUAAUUUAAUUUAAUUAUCGAAUAUAUGCAUAUAUAUUUUUUUUUUUUAAAAAUUAGAAUUAAAUGAUGAAUUGUACCUAAAAUAUAUUUAACGUGGAAGAAAGGGUUUACAAAUAUAUUGAAAUCCGGCAAAUCAUUAAAGUAUUGCAUAUAAUCUUAUCUCGAUCUUUUUUUUUGCACUUAAAAAAUUAUUCAAAUAUAUUAUGAUUUAUUGUAUUAAUAAUAAUCUUGUAAAAAUAAUAUACGCUUUAAGUAUAUGAUUAUUAACCAUUUAAUAAUUUAAUGGCAAGAAGCAACAUAUUAUUAUCUAUUAAUAAAUAUAUAUUCGUAAUUGUAGCAAAAAUCACGGCAGCCCUGAGGAUAAUGUGCAGCCCACUUGCGUUUUGGUCAAACAUCUCAUCCGUUGACCAAACUAAAUGCGAUUUUGAUUUUUAAUUUUAUACGGUAACGGGCGUAUUAAGUCAAUCUUCACAUAAUUAGACUUUAAUUACAUAAUUAGUUGUUUCAUAUGGGAAUAUAAAUUUGAACCAUAAAUAAAAAAUAAAAAUAAAAUAAAUUUCUUUCCAAAUUUGGAUAUAGUUGAUAAACUCAUUUUUAUAUAAAAUGGGGAAAAUAUACAAAAAUAAUAAUAAUAAUAAUUUUGUACACCUAUGAUUUAAAGCAUGACAAACCAAAGUCGGAAAAAGAAAAAAUAAUUAAAAAAAAAAAAAAGAUGUUUGAAUUUUCGGCAUGAAAUUCUCUCAUCUUCUUUGUCAUUUUCUUGGAUAUUUAUAUCAUAUAAUAUAAUAUAAAAAUAUUUUUAAAAAAUUAUAGAAAUUUUCUAUAGACAAUAGGCUUUAAACAUGCUUAAUAACUAAAUAUAUUAAAUUAAUCCAAUAAUUAAUGGCUCAAAUUGGUCAUGCGUAUCCCACGAAUGAGCAAAUCUGAUGGGGCAAGUAGUUAUAAAAAAUUAAAAAUUAAUUUUUGUAUAACUAAUUUACUAUUUAAUUAGAAUUUAAAAAUACCAACUUCUCUCUCUCUCUCUCUCUCUCUACAUAUAUAUAUAUAUAUGUAUAGAUACAGAUGCUCUCCUGUUUAUCUCCAAAAUUCCAUGCACCCGCACUUAUCCGGAAACUAAACUCUUCCUCCUUGCUCUGUUCUCUGGUUUCCUCUUUUACCUUUUCCGAUUCAACUCAGUUAAAUCUCCAUUGAAAUCUCUGCUUUCAGUUCCCAAAUUAUUUUCUCUACAAUCUCUCUACCAAUUGCUCGCUCAUAUCUCUUCUUCUUCUCUCAUAUCAUAUCGGAUUCGCGGCAACAUAGUCUCUGUUUCUUCCUUCUCUCCAAUGGUGAGUCUCUGUUUUUCUUUUUCAUCGUCUGGAAUUUCUUUUUCUUUUUUCUAAGAACUGGGUUUUUCGGUUUCUUACUAUUUUCAGAGUGGGCUUUCUUUUUUCUUUCAUCUGGUUUCGGAGUUCUGUUUCUAAUAAUUUUUUUUUUAAAAAUUAUUGAUGAAUUUACAGGCUCUUGAGAUGGGAAAUAUUAGAUACGACGAGGUAAUAAACAAUUAGCGUUAUGUAUAUCUUUUGAAUUUUUUACGAACAUUUGUUUUUGUUUUUUUUUUUAAAGAAAAGAAAAUUUAAAUCUAUGCAGGAGUAUAUAAUGAACUCGAGAGGGAUAAAGCUGUUUACAUGUAAAUGGAUACCUACGGAUCAAGAACCGAAGGCCUUGAUAUUCCUACUCCAUGGAUAUGCAAUGGAAUGCAGCAUCACCAUGAACAGUAAAUCUAAUUUUUGUUUUUUGUUUUAAUUACAAAAAUUAACAGUUAAUAAUAAUAGUUAAACGGUUUCAGGCACAGCAAUUAGGCUAGCAAAAGCUGGUUUUGCAGUUUAUGGGAUUGAUUACGAGGGGCAUGGAAAAUCAGAGGGGCUUGAUGCUUACGUUAAGAAAUUUGAUGAUAUUGUUGAUGGUUGCUCUAAUCACUUUACAACUAUUUGUGGUGAGUUUUCAAUUUCUUCUUUAAUUAGAAAUUACCCAUCUCUCUCUCUCUCUCUCUCUCUCUCUAUAUAUAUAUAUAUAUAUAUAUAUUUAUAUAUAACUUUUUAAUUAUUUUUUGAAAAUUUUAAACAAAAGAAUUACAAGAUAAAAGCUUAAAAAAUGAUUAAUUAUGCAGAGAAGCAAGAGAACAAACAGAAGAUGAGGUUUGUGAUGGGGGAAUCCAUGGGAGGGGCAGUGGCUCUGUUGUUGGCCAGGAAGAAGCCAGACUACUGGGACGGUGCCGUUUUAGUGGCACCCAUGUGUAAGGUUAGUGUUUUUAAUAAAGGAAUCUCCAUUAUUGUAUAACAUUUUUCGUUUACUCCCCCAAUUAACGAUCAUCCACAUGUUUCAGGUCAAUGUUGAUCCAUUUUUCUUUUUUUUUUUUUUUCUAAAAAUAAAACCCAUAUAAUAAUUAAAAAAAAAAAAAAACUUUCAAUAACAUAUGUAUAUCCUGAAAUUUAAUUUAAUUUUUUUUUGAAUUAUUAAUACUUUUCUUUUUUUAAUUCAGCUUCAAACGAGUUAUGUAUAAUAUAAAAAAUCCAUGCAAUAUAUAUAUAUAUAUAUGUAUUUGACAAUUCACGUACUUGCAGAUUGCAGAUGAGAUUAGACCAAGUCCUCUUGUGAUAAAUGUUUUGACCCAGCUUUGCCGGUUUAUACCAACAUGGAAAAUUAUUCCUGGACAAGAUAUUAUUGAUGUUGCUUUUAAAGAGCCAGAUGUCAGAAAACAGGUACUUACUACUUAUACACCACCCGAAUUCUCUAUAUAUUUUUAACGUCUUCUUAUUAGUAUAUAUACAUAUAUAUAUAUAUAUUCAUAUAGUUAUCGAAAUAUAUAAAUCGUAGAUAAGAGAGAACCCGUACUGCUACAAGGGACGUCCUCGCUUGAAAACUGGUUUUGAACUUUUGAGAGUCAGUCUGGAUCUCGAGCAAAGACUUAACGAGGUUUGUCUUCUCUUUUUACAUUCUUCUUCCCUUCCAGAAAAAAAAGCUAAAUGCAAAGAGUUUACUGACAACAUUGAAUUUUACAAAAUUGGAAAGUUUACUCUUGUUCUGCGCUUAAUCUUGAUUUCGAACUUGUUUAGGUUAUAAUACCAUUUAUAGUUCUCCACGGAGGAGAUGACCGGGUGACGGAUAAAGCUGUGAGCAAACAACUUUAUGAAUCGGCUUCGAGUACCGACAAGACCUUCAAGCUGUAUCCGGGAAUGUGGCACGGACUGUUAUAUGGAGAGCCAGUCGAGAACUGUGACAUGGUGUUUAAGGACAUCAUAGAUUGGACACAAGAAAGAGUUUCUUUAGGGGAUUCGAGGCUGGAGAGGGAGCACAAGUACAGGAAUGAAAAUCUCUCCAUGUCCAAACAGAAGUAGUUCGGGCCUUCAAUCAAUUUACUCUUGACCUUGUUUGGACAAAUUAAUUUGUGGAUUAAUAAUUUGUAAAAAAAAAAAUUUGGUAAAUUAAUUCUUGAGAUUUGUAUAAAUUAGCACAGAGAUAUUCUUAUUAUACAGUUUAAAGAUUUUAGUUCAUCCAAAAGGGUGUUGAAAUAUUAUUUUAUUGUAAUUUUAUCUUACGAAAUGCAACUCAUUAAAAAUCAUACUUACGGUGUUUGUGUUAGUAAUUAUAAAUAGAUAUAAUUCUAUAUAUAAAUAAUAAUAUUGCAUAUUUAUUAAUUUUAAUAUGCUUAAGAGAUGGUAAUAACACGAGACGUUAGGAUAUAUAUGUAUAUUAUAUGACAAGCCAUACCAUUUUUUUCUAGGCCCUUCACAGAAUCGCUUCUAAAUAACAUUUGGACACAUACAUACAUAUACGUACAGUUGUAAUUAAAAGUUAAUUCCGACACUGUAUAUAUAUAUAUAUAUAUAUAUAUUUAUAUUACAUUUCUACAAUUUUUUUCUCCUCAAAAAACAUAUCUCCAUCAUUUUUCAUGGUAAUGUUCUUUCAAUCUCCUCUCUUCUUCUUCUUCUUCUUCUCUCUCUCCAUGCAUGGCUUUUUUACUCUUUGUUUCUGGUUUUUGGCUUUCAAUUUUUACAGGCUUUUGAAACAGACAAUAUUAAAUAUGAUGAGGUAAGGCUUUAUUUGUUUAAUACUUCAUUGAUCAUUUCUAGUUUUGUUUCAAAUUUUUAGCAUUGAAUUCGUUCUGAAACACAGGAUUAUUUCACGAAUUCUAGAGGACUGAAACUCUUCACAUGUAAAUGGAUUCCAACGAAUCAAGAACCAAAAGCCUUGAUUUUCUUUUGCCACGGCUAUGCCAUGGAAUGCAGCAUCACCAUGAAGAGUACGUCUCUCUAUACAUAUAUAAUUCAACCCAUACGUAUGUCAUAGUUAAUUAAUUUAGUUUUGUAAUCUAGUGAGUUUUAAUUUAAACAUGCAGGUUGUGCGACUAGGCUGGUAGAUUCAGGAUUUGCAGUUCACGGAGUAGAUUAUGAAGGGCAUGGAAGAUCAGAAGGUCGUGCUGCAUUUAUCAAUAACUUGGAUGAUGUUGUUAAUGACUGCUCUCAACAUUUCAGACAGGUAUGCGGUAAGUGCUUAAGUUUCAUUUUUCUUCCAAUCAUAAUUACUUGUUCUUAAUUAAUUAAUUAAUUAAUUAAUUGUUUUCGUUAUUAAAUAUUUAGAAAAGGGAGAGAACGGAGGAAAAAUGAGAUUCUUGCUAGGAGAGUCAAUGGGUGGAGCUGUUUCUCUUCUUCUACACAGAAAGAUGCCUGGAUAUUGGGAUGGUGCAGUCUUGGCCGCACCCAUGUGCAAGGUUAAUUUUCAUUUAAUUAAUUGUUUAUUACUAUUUUUAUAAUUAAUUGUUUAUCACAAGUAUAUGAUUUAUCUUUGGGGAUUAAUCAUGUUUCUAAAAUUCUAAAAAGAGGCUCAGGCUCCAUCUUUUUAGGAUCUUUGGAUUUUCUUAAUCACCACCCAUUAUUUUACCGAAAUGAAAGUUUUAGCUUGUUUGGCCUAAUAUUACAGUACAAAAAAUGCAUUAUAAAAUUUAUUAUUUUUAUGCUAAUUGUAAGUAAUAUAUAUAUAUAUAUAUUAUGAUAUAUAUUAACUCUCAUUACUCAUCUAUAAAUGGGUAGCGAGUGCUCCAUAGCAUUAGCAACCCAUAAGUACCACAUACAUAUUUAUAUAUAUAUAUAUAUAAUAUUUAGAAAAAAUUAAGAUAUGAUAAUUUUGGUAAGUACAAUUUAUUAAAUAUUAAUAAAAAAAUGAAGAUAAAAAAAGACUAAUAUAUUAAUCAGUAGACAAUUACGAGAUAGACUGCGAUGGACUUUUGAGAAGAGAAGAAUGUCACCGUACAGAUUGCAGAUGACAUAAAACCACCUCCGGUAAUGAUGUCUUUUCUGCAAGCACUUUGCAAAGUCAUCCCAACAUGGAAAUCCAUCAUUAGCCAAGAUCUCACUGAUAUUGCUUUUAAAGACCCCAAAGUACGCGCCGAGGUAUACAUACACACACACACACAUACGGGUAAACAUAUGAUUCUUUUGUUGACAGAUUAAAGCAAACAAGUAUUGCUACAAAGGCCGCCCUCGCUUGAAAACCGGCCAUGAACUUCCUCAGAAUCAGUGGAGAUAUUGAGGGCCGACUUCAAGAGGUCUGCCAUAUUUUUUUUACUUCCAAUUUUUGGAAAGUAAUAAUAAGCACUAUUUUGAUAUUUCAUUAUCAGAAAUGAGAAAAUUUUCUAAUUUCUAUUUUAGGUCGUAAUCCCCUUCUUACUUCUCCAUGGAGGAGAUGACAAGGUGAUUGACAAAUCUGCCAGCAGGCAACUCUAUGAGGUAUCGAAGAGUCCAGAUAAGUCCUUCAAGCUGUACCCCGGAAUGUGGCAUGGUUUGCUAUUUGGCGAACCGACAAACAAUAUUGACAUCGUGUUUGCAGACAUUAUCGACUGGUUAGAGGAGAGGGUGAUGAAGAGAAAUCAGAGUGGGGAAGGUGAACUCAAGCUUAGCAAUGAAAAUGUGCCUAAACAGAAACUUGAUAGUAUGCUUUGAAUUCAAAGCAUUAGAUAACUCUAAACCAUUGAUUAGGGUUAAGAAAAAAUGUCACUUUAAGUUCCAGUUCACAACUUUAAUACUAAGUACUAAAAUUGUCCAUUGGAUCAGUAUUUCUAAGAACGAUUAUUAUUCAAAUAUUAAUACCUAACGGUUAAAACUUUAGAACUUACUAUUAAUGCUGUGAACUGGAACUUACAGUACCAUCCUUCCACAUUGCUGGCCUGGUUCAAGGGUAGCAUCAGCUCCUGCAGAAACCUGGCUGAAAAACUAUUUGAACCUUCAAUUAUUAGUUCAUUUGUUUUAAGGCUCCGUGAGAGUAAUGGGCAUUCCCGGUUUAGCCGAACAUAGAUAGGAGAAACAGAAAUCUGCAGUGAUAUGGAUUAAUAUCGAAUCAUUGUAACUAGUAUGGUCAAUGCCUGUAGUUCAAUUCAUAAUAAGAUUAGAUAAUACAGAAAAUACAGUUACUAAUUCAUACUGUCUAAAUUACCCUGAUGGGAUCUGACUGAAAGUGAGUGGCAUGGUUCUUUUCUUCUUUGGUACACUUAGUAAAAGGAAUGACAACAUGAAUCCCAUAGAAGAUAUAUAUUUAGUCAAGGCUAAUCUAGUAAUUACAACAGAAAGGACAUUUUAUAGUUAAGAACUACCUCACAUUAGACUGCCAGCAUUUAGCUCGGCACACUCCAUUGGAUCCUGACCAAGGAUGUAGGGAAAGAAAGGAAGCUUCCGCCAGCAUAAAUUUUCUGUGGUCAGAGGUCCAUCUGGUAAUUUACCCAUGCUUUUUCAGGCCUCUGCAUUAUCUGCUUAAACAGCUUCACUCUAACUGCAAUUAGCACUAACCAAUGCCGAUAACCUCAGCACAACAUCCUGCAUAAUAUUCGAUUAUCUGGUAAAUAACAUUUGCAUCUAACAACAUCAAAAACUGAAUCAAGCAUUAAUAAAUCAAUAUUAAAAAGAGAAACAUGUUGACUAUCACAGUAACUGAUAUCAUCAAGCUGAACUAAACUUCAUUACAAGAUUGUGGAAGGAAAGUUACAGAUAUUAGUAAAAAUCAGAGUAGAGAAUUGUGAACUAUUGAACAUAUCCUACAAAUUAGAACCUUUCCAGAGCACAACUUUGAGCAUAUUGUUGAGUUAGAGGUUCCAACCAGCAGAAUCUGAAAUUUUGGAUGGCAUAAAACACAGUCUAAUGGAGACGCGUAGGGUCAAUAGGUAGACCAUAGUCUAGGGAUGCAAAUAGGCAGAUUAAUUUCUCCAAAAUAUAAACAUAAAAGUGCAAUAACAGAGAGAGAGAAAGAAGGCACUAUGAGACAUGCUUUCUCAAAUUAUCUUAUUUCGAACUUCUUCAAGUUUCUUCAAUAUCUCUCCGGGUGUUCUAUCCAACUCGUCAGCAAUUUUUCUUUGCAAGUCCAGAGGAAGUGUUGGGAACUGCUCACAUAGAUCGCCAUCUAUCACAUCCUGCAUAAAUAUUGCAGAGUUCAGAAAAGCUAUCAAAGUUGUCCAUAAUGAUUAAUGAGUAUAAGAACCGAAAAAUUCAUGAAAGAAUGAAAGCUAGAGUCAGGAGAAAUCAAAUGAAAGCUCACAACAUUAGUUUCUUAUUCGCAUCCACAGUUACUACAACUGGCCCCAUCUGCCAUAGGUGUUUAAUUUUUUUAACAAGUGCUGGACCCACCAAGCAAAAACAAAAAGAACCCACUCCGAUGGGAUUGGAUUUGUGGGCCUCCAGUAGGCCGAAUAAAUUUGCUAUCCUAGGUUGCCUCAAAGUAAAGAAUCAUUUCAGCAGUCAAGGAUACAUUUAUUAAUGAACUGGAGACAUAUGAAAUACCUUGACAGGAAAGUACGCAGAUCUAUAAGCCAUGUGAUCUCUUCCACAUAAAGGUGGGUGUUCCUGCCUCAUAUGCAUCUCCAAAUGCGAAAAGAAGUCAACAUCAUCACGUGAGGUGAAUGCAUGCAAUGCCCCCAAGCUCCCCAUGACAGUUCCAUAAAUGAUGCAUUCUGACCCACCUGGGAUCAAAGAUGCCUUCUGCAAACAAGUAACCACAUCACCAACAUGAAACUGCACUAUCUCUUCUACCUUGUUAGGUGCUCCAUUGAGCUUCCCUUGCUCCCACUUAAUCUUCCCACCAGUUGGAUCUUCCUCAAUCUCAUCUGACACAUCCUGUGGCAACCGAACAAAAUAGAAAUUCCCAAAUUUGUCCGCACCCGCCAUCGUAUCAAAAUCUAUGUGAUAUGAUGCAGUAAGCCAUCUUGGGACACAAUCAUCUGCAAAUAUGUACAGUUGAUUUUCGUCUCGUCUAUACUUGCAGAAAUGGAAUGACUGCCAAGAAGAGAAUAAUACAAGUUAAUACAAAAAACAACUCCGCACCUUAGGGAACCAUAUAUCUAUCUCUAUUGCUAGCAUAUAAACAAUAAAUAACACAUUCUAUUUGAAACUUCUUCCAAACAAAACAUUUUCCCAGCUAAUGUCAUACAGAGGAGUGGUUGCACAAUUAACUUCUUAUUAUUUGAAUGGUUCAUUAUUUGGACUUUUAUUUUACCCAUUUGGAAUACUGUAUGAGUUCAUUUGUUAAUGUAAUUAUCCAUUAUCACGAACUUUUUGACGAUAUUAUAGCAUCUUCCUCACAGUUGUGAAGAUAAUCCGAAUAGUGAAUCAUCUUAGAGCCAUUAGUUAAAAUACAUACCUCCUGAAUAUCACCAACAUAAAUUCGGUCACGAUAAGUAUGAAUCGAGACAAUUUUGUUAGGGAACAGCUUAUUUUCACAUUUUCUGAGCAACCUCCUUUUCCCCAAGUCGUAUAACCUAAGUACAGGACCUAUUCCAGCUAGCAAUCUUCCCUGAAAUUGGGAUAAAGCAAGAGGUACACCUUCCACUUGUGUCUUGUGCAGAAGUUCAAGAGAUUUCCCAUCUUCCAGAAACCUAUAAAUAUGAAUAAACCCCGCUACUAAACUUCUUUUGGGCCAAAACUGCAGUCCCUUGGCUGUACCAACUGCUAAAAGAGUUCCAUACUCCUUAUCAUGGAAAUUAACAGUACAAACACUGAAUGCAGCUUCAUUGUCCUGAAGUUCUAGGAGACAAGUUGUAGUAGCUUUCCUUGGAUCAAGGACUCGGAUACAAGAAACCCACUUGUCUGAUUCUGCCUUUGGAUAACCAUACUGCUCAUCCGAGAGGGGAUCAUCUUUGUCUUCAUCAUCACCAUUCUCCAUUUGUUCAGCAUUAGCAUUGCCAUUUUCUCCCAUUCCAGCAGCUUCAAAGAAUUCCUUUCUUGCAGCUUCACGUUCUUCUGCAUUGAAUGCUCCUUGGUCACUCUCAAUAAUCACUAACAACUUCCACUUGGGGUGGAGAACAAACUUUCUUGGCGUGUACCUUAAAGGAAUCACAGUUUCGUUAAAUGUUUCCCCAAGACGCUCAAUUGUGAAAAUCCUCAAUGCAUCCCCAGCCACAGCAACAACACCUUCAGCACAUUGAUCGGAUGAAAAUGAAGCAGCAAAUUCAAGAGUCUCAUAAGAAAGAGGUGUUAACUGGAAAUGUCCCUGGUGAAUAUAACCAAGCCAGGGUCGACUGGACAAGCAAAGCAUUGCACGUCGUCCUCUCACAAUGACCGAGAAUAACUUCGGAGGCCUCAGCCCUAAAAACCGGGAACGGGAAUCAGAAAGUUGACCAGUCACCAUAUCCACAACUGUCCUAAAUAGAACCCCAGUCUGUAAACCAGCAUUAAGGAAAAGACUAGCAGGGUGAUCAGCACCAUCUUCUCCACCUACUGAAGCCUGGACUUCAAGAAAGAGGAGGGAUUCUGGAGGCGAAGAUACACUUUGAACACUGAGAAUCUGCAUACAGUCAUCAGGAUCCAAAGAUAAGAUACGAAUGGUGUUGUCAUAAGAACCAACUGCAAGGAAGCGUGACCUCUGUCUUCCUUCAGGGACUGGAGCAAUGUCCAAGCAAGCCACAUCUCCAGACAUUUCAUGUUUCUCCACCUCCAUCAGCUGACCAGUCAUAUCCACCUCAAAAUAUAUAAGUUCCCCUCCUGUAAGGGCAAUAACUACUUGGAGUCUGUUUGAACCAACCUUAACAAUCGACCUCUUUCCAGGGGUUCUCCACUCAUUAAUACGCCCAUCUUCCCUAAUAUGCCGAAUACCAUUAGGGUGGACUUGCAUUAGAGAAUCAUCACCUAUUAAAGAAACAGCAAGGGAGGGAGUAGUAUCAAGAAACCCACUAUCGCUGACUUCUUCAACCGUUUCACCAAUUGAAAGCACAAGGGUGGCAUUGGUAAAAGAGACCACAAUAUAUGCAUCAAACUCAUCAUUGACAUUCUUUUUCACAGUCCAAACUGCACUUGGGAGACCAGGAAGCUGUGACACAGCCAUCUCACUGAUGGCCAACCCAGGCCUUAAUAUCCUUAAAGAGGAACGAGGACCUCGUCCACAAAGUGAAAAUAUCUGAGGUGUUUCUUCCUCAAAGAGAUUUAUUACUUUCAUGUCCAUUAUUGGCAUCAGGCUCUCAACCUGGUCAAUCCUAACAAGGUUUUUGAGUCCUCUAGGCUGGAAAAACACAGGCUGGAAACCUUCAUCAGUUUCCAUCAAAGUGGCUGAAGAUGACUCCACGUCAGGCUCCUCCCCUAUUGCCUGAAACUGAUACAAAGCAUGAUUUCCAAACUCCGAUGCAGCAAACAAAAAUCCAGACUUCAACACACACAUGGAAGCUGUAACCGGAAUAGUAUCAAAAUAUUUAAUCUUCAACUCCGAAACGCUAUCCCCGUCAUGUUCCAAAGUAACCUUAAAAAUGUCUCCAUAUUCAGUUUGCAAAAGAAAGAAGAACAUGGACUUCUGCUUAUGCAUUGCAGCUGACACUAUUAGAACCCCCCGUUCAGCAGGCAAAUCUGCCCGCCUAGGAAUCACUGCUCGGAAAUCUGGACCUUUAGAAUUUUUAUAAAUUACAAAAUUCUCAGCACACACCAGUACUCCACUUGGCCCAUCCCCUCCUCCCGGAACAGUAACAAGCAAGUUGGCACCAUUAUCAACCUGUUCAGACCAUUUCCUAGACACAUGGUUAAGCCCUAAAUCUAGCUCGUAAAAAGUCAAUUGCUUCUGGGCUUCACUAGCUGCUUGUCCGGUGGAAUCCUGAUCUGCCUCCGAGUAAUCAAGCUCAAUGGCAGCAAAAAUCGGGUUCUCAAAACCGCAAUCCACCCCGCAAAUGGAAUAACAUAUCGUGUGCGAUUUGUGCGCCUCUAGCGGAGACGAAAUCGUUAAUCUUGCAGCAGUAUCCCUAUUCAAAACAUACACAAGUUUCUGUUUCUCACAGGCACCUAUCAUAACAGCUCUCCCUUUCGGGUCAAUAGCCAGGUACUGACCCGGAACAAUCCGGCGACAGCCAGACUUCCCAAAAGUUUCUUGGUGUACCUUGUCGAAUACGUUUUUCUCCUUGUUGUACUCUAGUAUUACGAUUCGACCGGAAUCGGAACCGACAACGAUGUAAUCUUUUUGGGACCCGGUUAAGCGAAACUGAGCUAGGGAUCUAAUGGCACCAAACACUUCGACAGAGAGUAAAGUUUGGAUCUUACCGUUCUCGUCAGGUCGGAGGAGAUCUAGGACCUUACCACGAGCAACGACAAUCUCCUGCGUCUUGCCGCCGGAGAAGUUCCCAUUUAUGGCACAGAGAAUGCCGGUAGCCUGCUGCAGGGUGAGAUUGUAUAGAUACAUGGGUGACAAUAUGGCGAGCUUGACCUGCAGAUAGAGCUGAAACAAGCGCUACAAUUAGAUAAAGAGGAGAGAAGUAGUGGAUUUGGGGUUUAGGGGACGGAUUCAGGGUUUUAGUUAAAUUCCAUGGUGAUGGGGUUUUCUUGAGUUCCUGAUUUCGGGUAUUGGAAACGAAAUGACGGGAAGAGGUAUAACCUGCUAUAAACCCUAGGCCUAGAGAUUUAUUGGCCCAAUUCAGCCAUUGCUGGAAUCGACGGCACAGAUCACUUUUUCAAAAUUAAUCUUAUUUUAUAAGUAUAUAACUUCACCAUUCAUAAUUCAAUUAAAUUUUUUUCAAGUAAUUCUCUUCAAGAAAAAAUAUACACCCAAAAAUUUGAAAUGCAAUUUAAAUUAAUUCAUAAUUUAAUUUAAUUGUUUUAUUUAAUAAUAUUAUUCAUGAUAGCAAAAAAUUUAUUGGUAGUAAACUAUUAACAAGUAAAUCAAAAAUAUUUAAAAUGCAACUAGACCAAUUUUUUAUUUUUUAUUUUUAAAAAUUGAAAUUAUACAUAUAUAUUUUUAAAAUUUGCAUCCAUGACAAAUACUUUUUCUUAACCAAAAAUCUCUAAAUUUUAAUAACAAUCUUACAAUUAUGCACUAAUGACAUGGCCCAUGAGGACUAGUGUGUAUAAUCAGCCCAAAUCCACAAUUUAGGGGUAAAACAAUUCAAGGCAGAAAAACCGAAGCUAAUUGGGUGCAACCACUAAACACCAUAUUCAACCACUCCAAUUUAGAUCCACUACACUGCCAUAAUCACAUUCUUCUAUCAUAUUUAUUAUUUAUAAACCAACAAUAACACUGAAGCCAAACCAAGUUGACGAUAUGAUCAUGGCAAAACUCCCUCCAAUCGUCGUACUUUUCCUAUUUGUCAUUGUUGAUCAAUCAUUCUCGUUACGAAUUCUUAACAAUCAUCACUAUCGCCAUCGCAAAAUCACUUUCAUCAUGCAAAAUGUGUUCAAUGUGUCAGAACCCUCAUCCAAAUCUGUAACUACUAAAGUCGCAGGCCAUCACCUGCCAUUUCUAAAACCAUUAGGUUUCUUCCCUCCAAAAGGAGGAAUUCCUAUACCAGAAUCACUCCCCACGAGUUCAACCAUUGGAGAAUCAUCCCAAGCAGUUGAUAUCUCGGACAUUGGCCUCAACUUUCCAGCUAGAGCUACUCUUGAGGAGUUGGAAUUGGGAACAUUUACAAGUAUUGAUGAGGACUUGUUCAAAAUCUCAACAAAUGGGGGGAAAAAACUGUUCGGCAAAGCACACGGGGUGUAUGUUGCUAGUCCAGGGAAUGGAACUGGCUAUAUGAUGGCAGUUACAGCAUUUUUGGGCCCAGGAGAGUUCCCGGAUGGAUUGAGACUUUUCGGGGUGUAUAGGGCUCAAGAAGCUGAGUCUCAUGUGGCUGUUAUUGGCGGCACCGGAAAGUAUAAUUGUGCCAAUGGCUACGCAAGUGUUAAAGCUUUUGAACUCCAGGGAGCCAACAAGCUCCUGUUAUUCACAGUUUAUCUGAGUUUGUAAAUAUAUCUGUUAAAAGAUCCUCAGAUAGAAACUGUAAUAGCACAUAAUCUAAUUUUGUUCUGCUUCACAACUUAUCAGUUAAAAGAUCAUCGUAUGGGGGCAAUUUAAAUCUGUUUAAUUGUUUUUCACUAAUCAAACAUAAUUUCUGAAAAAAAAAAAAUCAUUCAAAAGAUUGAACUAGAAAAUUGCAAUGAUGAAAGCUAGUCCAAAUUGUGCUAGUAAUACAAAAAGUGAUGUAAAAAGUCAUAUUAUGUGAUAAACUAAUUCCACCUUGAAUCCGAAGAAUCCUACUGCAUCCAUCCAACAGUUACAACUCAGAACAUUGAAAGAAAAAUAACUCAAAAUUUAUCACUAGAUCAUGCAGCCUGUUGAGCAGCAAGCCUCUUCCUAGACUCCUCAAUGAUUGAUAACUUGAUGCCCUUGCCCUUGGGAAGGGACACCCAUGGUUUUGAGCCUUUACCAAUAGUGAACACAUUGCCCAUACGGGUUGCAAACUCAUGACCAACUGCAUCUUGAACAUGGAUGGUCUCAAAGCUACCCUUAUGUUUCUCUCUGUUCUUGAUGACUCCGACACGCCCUCUGUUCCUUCCCCCAGUCACCAUCACAACAUUCCCAACAUCAAACUUAAUGAAGUCAACAAUCUUGUUAGUCUCCAGGUCAAGUUUAAUGGUAUCAUUGGCCUUGAUAAGAGGGUCUGGGUAGCGAAUGGUGCGGCCAUCAUAUGUGUUCAGGUAUGGGAUACCCUUCUGGCCAAAUUGGACAGAUCGAACCUUGCAAAGCUUAAACUGCAAAGAAUGUAAACUUCCACAAAAUUAAAACAUGCACUUAAAACUCUUUAAGAAGUAAUGUUAUAGCAUAACAAUAAUCCAAUAAAUCAGGCAGCAACAAACAAACCUUGGCUUCCUCGUCCCUGACAGUGUGGAGGCAGAAGCGGCCCUUGGUAUCAUAUAAGAGACGGAAGUUCUCAUUUGUCUUGGGGAUUGACACAACAUCUAAUACCAGAAAGCAUAAGGAUCUAUUAUAUGUAUUAAGUAUUGCAAAAUAGCCUAGAUAGGAGAGAAAGCAGAGAAUAGAGAGAAUCACAUCUUUGCACCCAUGAAAAAUACUAGUAACCUGUCUCCAUGGUUUAAUGAAUUCUUUAAGCAUAGUUAAGGUUUCAAUCAUUUGGGAUGGGCUUUAUGGUUUUGCUAACUAUUUCACAAGUAAUACAUCAAGCUCAUUUUGGAAUACAACAAUUCAAAGUAGAAUAAGAAUAAGGACAAACUUUUUAGCACCUACCCAUGAAACCGGCAGGGUAUGUCUUAUCAGUCCUAACUUUUCCAUCAACAAGCACAUGUCGUUGCAUCAGGAUAGCAAUGACUUCACGGUAAGUCAGUGCAUAUUUGAGCCUGUUCCUCAGGAUCAGAAUCAAGGGUAAGCAUUCUCUGGAUUUGUGCGGACCAGAUGAUGGCUUGGGUGCCUGAAAGGUGUUUUAUAAAGGUUUAUUGAACCAUAAAAUAAAACCAAAUAACGAUACAAACUGAAAAGUUAAAAAAAUGCAGCUGAAAUUAGCUGACUUACAAAUGCACCACCUAGCUUGUCAAGCAUCCAAUGCUUUGGGGCAUUGAGCCUCUUCAAAUGUUUCUUCAACCCCCUCGCCUGUAGUAACACCAGAGAAGAAGAGGUGAAACCCCCUAAAAUAUUGCAAACAAAUAUGAAAGGAAAAAAAAAAUCUUUGCAACAGAAAAAGGAAAGAAAAUUUAGACUUAAAAAACAUACAUAUGUACUAUUAAUGUAUUAUCCUAAGCCUUAAAACUUGAGUUUUUAUAUUCAUACAAUAAUCUCAUAAAGGUUUACAAGUAACCAGUUCCCAAAACAACAUACCGGCUGCAUUUGUCACUACAAAAAUCAUCAAAUUCUUAAAAGCACAUGAUAAAACAUCAGUGAUAUUUAAAAUAAAAAAAAAACUCAAAGCACGAAGACAUUAUACCUUGAAAACCAAAGAUUAAAUGGGGAAAACAAGAACUAAAAUAAGAUCAAAGAAGCAAACCAGAUUUGACAUCCAAAAAACAUUUGCAUGAGUGUUUAGGACAAGAAAAUUACAAACAGAUAAAGGAAAAACAUCUAGGGAACAGCAAAUAAUAGUUUAAAACAAAAGUUAUUUUAAACUAAAAAAAAGCCAUAAAAAAGAAGUGGAAAUUAUUUGCAAUUAUACAUUUUUCAAGUUUAUGACACCCUCAGAUAGAAUUUAUAAAUGAACAUCAUAGUUGAAAAAUGCUGAAAAUUUAUCUUUCACUCUUGUUUCUGUUUCUCUAAUUUGAGUGAGUCAAGAAAAGUUCAUAAAAUGUUUUGAAGUUACAAUUUAUUUCAAUCACCCACAUUCUCUAGCAAGUGAGCACAAGCUUAAUUCAUUUGUAAACAAAAUGGAUUUUAAUAGUUUAUUUUUUCACAUUGAAGUCUUAAAGUUCUAAUAACAAAUACUAUAUACCUCAUCAAAUCUCAUAAAAAAACAAGCUUCUAAACAAUCAUGUGUCCCGCACCAACAACCCAUUAAACAUUACUUUAACCAAAACACAGAUGAAAUUAAUGAGUGGUAUUCACUAUGAUACAAAAAAAGUAAGAACCAAAUACAACCAGCAGAUCUACAUAACAGUUACAUGACAGGCUUAUAAGACAUGAACACUAACCAUUUUGCUGGUGCUGGCUCGACCUCAAAGAGUCUUCUCGCCGAACGUCCUUCAAAGGUAAAAUUAACAAAAUAAAUUAAACAUACAAAACUGGGCAACCAAAAGCAUGAGAUAUGAUUAUUUGAGUUUCAAGAAAUAAAUAUCUCUUAAUAGCAAUUAUUUAUCAACUUAUACAUGUUAAUAUGGUGAAAAAUAUUUAGAUAAUCAACUCCCCCUCAUCCAUCCAGUCCUUUUCAUUAGAAAGUUUUACCAUCAGAAGGAAAUUCCAGCACAGAUUAUAACUGAUUUCAGAAUGUACCGCCAAAGACGCAGAAAGAAGAAAAAUCAAAAGCGAGACAAAAAUGGGAGAGAUAAAAAAACUACAACUGAGUAAUCGAAAUUAUAUACAAGCACAUAGAAAAAAAAAUACAAGCAUAUGUAGGAAAAAAUAAUAGAAAAGCACAAAAGUAUAUACAUUGAUGCGUAUGAUCAAACAAGGGUAUCGCGAAGAAUGAACGGACAAAAGAACAUCAGAAAAAGAAGAGAGACGGAAAAGAAAGAUUAAGCGAACCGAUCCACGACGAAGAAGCCGGUUCCAGUUUUAAUUAGCAUAUCACAGUACAAACAAACACGGGAAUCAUACUGAAAAUACAGAAUGGAGUGAAGCAUUACCCCGAUGCAGGAGGCUGAAACUCCCAGCUGCUACGGUCUCUGAGAUGCGCGACUACGAGGACGAAAACAAAACGGGGUUUAUAUAGUGCGAUUCNNNNNNNNNNNNNNNNNNNNNNNNNNNNNNNNNNNNNNNNNNNNNNNNNNNNNNNNNNNNNNNNNNNNNNNNNNNNNNNNNNNNNNNNNNNNNNNNNNNNNNNNNNNNNNNNNNNNNNNNNNNNNNNNNNNNNNNNNNNNNNNNNNNNNNNNNNNNNNNNNNNNNNNNNNNNNNNNNNNNNNNNNNNNNNNNNNNNNNNNNNNNNNNNNNNNNNNNNNNNNNNNNNNNNNNNNNNNNNNNNNNNNNNNNNNNNNNNNNNNNNNNNNNNNNNNNNNNNNNNNNNNNNNNNNNNNNNNNNNNNNNNNNNNNNNNNNNNNNNNNNNNNNNNNNNNNNNNNNNNNNNNNNNNNNNNNNNNNNNNNNNNNNNNNNNNNNNNNNNNNNNNNNNNNNNNNNNNNNNNNNNNNNNNNNNNNNNNNNNNNNNNNNNNNNNNNNNNNNNNNNNNNNNNNNNNNNNNNNNNNNNNNNNNNNNNNNNNNNNNNNNNNNNNNNNNNNNNNNNNNNNNNNNNNNNNNNNNNNNNNNNNNNNNNNNNNNNNNNNNNNNNNNNNNNNNNNNNNNNNNNNNNNNNNNNNNNNNNNNNNNNNNNNNNNNNNNNNNNNNNNNNNNNNNNNNNNNNNNNNNNNNNNNNNNNNNNNNUGAAAAGCACAAACUGUUUAUUGUAGCUUUCUCAUGGUCAUCAUACCUGAACCUUUACAAAAGACCCAAGUAUACCACAAAAUUUUGAUAAGAUAUCUAUAUAUAUAUAUAUAUAUAUAUAUAUAUAUAUACCUAUUUAGUUAUAUAGCUGAUUCUUUACAGUAAAAACUAGAUAAGUAAAACAUAAAACAUGAUCAUACCAUUUUCUUACUUAAUCAACAACAUAUACAAGGGUUUAGAUCCUGCCAACUAACACCAAACCCAACAAAAUCAAUAUGGUAUCAAGCCAACAACUCCAUUUCAUCAACUCCAUUCGUAUCAAAAGCUUCUUCCAGCUAUAUAUAUGUGUGUGCCCAUAAGAUCGCUAUGUUCUCCAUCAGAAAACAUCAAGUCUCCUCACUUGUGCGCCAACAAAAAUUUGACAAACCCUAAUGGCUAAAGCUCUUGCAUUUAGCACCUCCGCCUUCUGUUUCCUCUUCAUAUCCCUUCUCUUUGGGUGUGCCUAUUCGGCAAGAUUUCUUGAUGAAAUAGAACAUCAACCACAAGUCAUAGCUGAUACACCUGACGAAGAAUCCAAUCUGGCAACACCACCUGUUACUACCAUCAGUACAUUUCCAAGUGGCCAAAUACCUACUACAACUGUGCCAACCGAUGAAACACAACCACCAGUUGAUGAUGUGGCAUCACCUAUUGAUGAUGUGACACCACCAAUCGCCGACGUGGCACCACCAAUUGAUGAUGUUGCAACGCCUAUAAGCAAUGGAUCACCGCUAACAAAUCCUACUAAUGUUGCUACUACCACUACUACUACCACCAAUAUGCUGCCAAGUACAUCACCUACGAUGACAAAUUCAGGUACGGAGGCAGGUCCUGUUGGACCACCACGAGACUCGACAUUGUCAUUCUUCAUGCAUGACAUCUUAGGUGCGUCCAACCCAUCGGCUAGGGUGGUCACUGGGAUCAUAGCAAACACUGAGAUCAAUGGCAUACCUUUCUCCAAGACCAACAACAAUUUUUUCCCCAUCAGUGGAGGAUCCCCACUUCUCAACCUCAACAACAUCAACAACCUCAUAAACCCAAACACUGCACCGUUACUCACGGGCUUAAAUGGCGGAAAACCCAACACUAUAGUACAAAAUGCUGGCAAUAACAACAUCUUCAAUAGUAACAACCAACCUUUUGUCACUGGUGGGCAACUCCCACCAGGACCCACCCUUCAACGGCUUAUGUUUGGAUCAAUCACCGUGUUCGAUGACGAGUUGACAGAAGGACAUGAACUAGGAUCAGCUAUAAUAGGUAGAGCACAGGGGUUUUACUUGGCCAGCUCCAUAGAUGGUACUAGCCAAACCAUUGCAUUGACAGUAUUGUUACAUAGUGAUCAUGAUCACCAUGAUGUUGAAGACACUAUUAGCUUCUUUGGAGUUCAUCGGACAGCAUCACAUGAAUCACAAAUUGCAGUCGUCGGUGGGACCGGAAAGUAUGAGAACGCUAAUGGGUAUGCAACAGUUGAGACACUUCACGAAGAAGACCAGCAUACAUCAGACGGUGUGGAUACCAUCCUGCAUUUCAAUAUUUAUCUCUCUUAAUUGAUUGGCAACUGAUUACUUUAGUCUAUAGUUGUCUUUGUGUGUGUUUGAGAUUGUAUGAAAGCAUGUAUUCAAAUAACCAAUGUAUGCUAUAUAAGAGCAGGAAAAUCAUCUAGCAUCCGAAUGAGAAUUUAUUGUGGGUUGUUGGAUCAAAUCAAAUCUCAAUGUUAAUUUUUUAACAGUGCCAGUCAUUUUUUGGUUGGAAAAGACGAUAUAAAUCGAUAUGUUUUGGUCAAAAGAUGAAUUGACAAAGUAAUCCUGAUUAAAAACAGAAAUAGAAUCAAUUGGAGGAUGAAAGAAAACAACUACCUUAAAAGGAAUGGGCCAGAAAAUUUAAUUCAGAAUUACAAAUCACCUUAAAAUUAUUGUAAUAAUAUUUUACAACUUGUCAAGAAAAUAAAAACUUAAUGAAAAUUCAUGUCUCCUUAGUUAAGUUUUAAAAUAUAUGAUCAGAAUGUAAUUUAUUGUGUUUGAGUUACUAACACCUUCUCCAUGAAUAUUAUCACCUCCUUAAAUUUCUUGAUAAUGAAAAUUUAAUCCUUAACUUUUAAAACUAGGAAAAAAAUCACACCAUCAAAAGGAUUAAUGUGAGAUCUCGAUAACUUAAAACAACAAAUUAUGUUCUAAUUAUAAAUAUUACGAGAAAAAAAAAUUAGAAGUUUUUCUAUAUUAGAAUUAGAACUCUCUCAAAGAACAUAUAUGUUAGACUAAUAUAAAAAUUGGAACUCUCCAAAUAUAUAAAAAUUAAAAUUAGUAGUUAACUACGAAUUCAAAAAGUAUUGAACCACAUCCAACUGAGGAAAAUUGAGGGAGAAUUCACAAACAGAAAGUGAGACAAAAUUCUGGGUCAUUUUUACAGCAAUCUCUUAAAGGAAGUAUUUGAGAAAUUUUCUUGGAGGUCUCGCUGCAAAUAUGUAUUAUAUAUAUGUACAUAUAUAGCGAGUACUAAUUGAAUGAGAAUUGAACCAAAUGCAACCUAAAGAUAUUUAAGGAAUUCAUCGAGAGAAAUGAGACACAAGAUUAUAAAGUAACUGGGAAAAUUUCUUGGAGGUCUUUCUGCAUAUAUUAUCUUAAUAAAUAUAUGUGAAUUGACAUCUCUACAAAAUUUAGUUGAUUAAAUCAAGAAUAUAGAACAUAACAAUGUCGAUUUAAAGAAAUCAAGUUACAAGUUUUACCCACGAGUAAUUUGGCUGUCCGAACCUCGCCGACCCGUCGAAGGGAAAUGCAGGUUGCCUUGCACGGCUACUAAGCGAAGAAGAUUUGAAUUUGAAUAUGAAAAUGAAAGGAGGCGGGAGGAGCGUGUGAGAGAGAAACCAGUGAAGGUAGUCGGCUCCCCGCUAAGGACGAUUAGGGUAAAAGGAAAACUAGGGUUUAAAAAUAUAUGUUGUGAAAACAAAGGGGCAUUCCGAGAAUUGAACUCGGGACCUCUCGCACCCUAAGCGAGAAUCAUACCACUAGACCAAAUGCCCAGGUGACAAACUUCCUCAAAUGAAAUAUAUUCAGUAAUCAAAACGCUCCAAUUUUUUAUUCAUCCUGUCUAAACUUUCAGUAACUUCAAUUUAUGAUAUAAUUGUUAUUUGUGUUUGAUUCAUAUUUAUCACUUAAUUAUACAUAUAAAAGAUAUUAACUAGAGUAAAUGGUAAAGUCCAACAAAGAAGACUUCAAGCAUCAGAAAACCGGCAUGGAGCUACUGGCUAUCGCAAUGUUCAAAUGUUUCACACCAACACGUAGAUUGUAGUAUUUCACAUACCAACAAAUCGAAACAAAACUUGAUGAAUGUUUAUAUCUCGCUAAAUCGAAAACCUCACUCGACCAAACUAGACCAAAACUUUUCCUAUGUACAACUCUCUCUCAUGUAUCCUUAUAGUAUUCUAACAAAGAAGCAGACAACAAAAACACUACUUCCUCUCUCUUUUAUACUUCGAUGAUAAAAAAUUUAUCUGCCAAAGAAUCAGAAGAAAAACAAAAGACAACUAUCACUCAAAAACUCUCACUGCUAACAACCUCAGCUGUUAGCUCAUCAAUCAAAGAAUUCUCUAUUUCCCUACCAAUUAUCUCAAUCUCAUCUCCCAGUUCUAACCAACUGUUGCCCCUUCCCUCUAGUGCAUUCAUGGAUGUGUUUGCUUUUGCUUGUUUUUCUGAAUUCGCAAGCAACAUUCCAAGCUCGUCAAUUACCUUCAGACCUCGCUUGAGCCUUCUUGAUACAGGCUUCGUCCACGUAGACAUGCCCAUGCAUGGCCGUAGAAGCUCUAGCAGUCCUAAAUUUAUCCGGUCGAACAAAAGCCUCCUUUCUGACCUCUUCCAUGAUGUUUGCUCACCAUACUUCUUCUCUAGGUUCUCAAAGACUCUAGGAUUUAUAGGGCAUUCCAAGGAGUGCCACUUAUGAAAUCCCUGGUUCCCAUCAUUGAAACCUGCCUCAGUUAGGACCUCGAUUAUAUAUGAGAAAUCCCUGCUUUCAACUUCAGACAAUUUAAUUACACAUUUGUGUUCUUUGCAUUCUGAGUCCCAUGUUGAUGUUUCCCCAAUAUCUUCAUCAUCACUAGACACAAUCAUACCGGAUCCUUCUGAGAAUGUCUCUGAGGAUUCUGAUUUCAGAAUUUCAAGUCGCCAUUUUACACCUAUAAUACACAAUAAGAAUUACAACUACAGAAAUUCAGCAAAUAUAACGAACAUCACAAGCAAUCCUCUUAGGAAGCUUACCAUCCAAAUUGACACCCUGGAAGCAUUCAGAGCCUACUGAGAUCUCAUCUUCAAAAGGUGGUACAAGUACUGAAACUGGACUGGGCUGGUAGGCCUCUUCCAACUUCGAGGAGGACUCAGAAUCUGUGCUAGAGAAAUUUGAGGAAACAGAACCUUCAUCAGAGAUUCUGCUCAACAAAUCCUGCAAAGCAGUGACAACAUUUGAAGUGAGAAAACAUAUAAUUAAAAUUUUUGUAUCUCCAGUAACUGACUGCCUAAGUAGCUGGGAUUUCCUCGGUUAAUAUGCUGUCUCUCGAAUUUAAGUGCAUGAGAUAAUAAGUAUCUGAUAUGAAUCAUCUUAGGCUCCAGCAUAACCUUGUUAUACAUAACAGUCACAUAUGCAACCAGAGUUGACAUUGGAUGAGCCAAGCUCCUAUUUGUUCUUUCCCUCAACAACUCUCCCCACCUUUGUUAACCAACUAGAAAGCAAAAUAAGAAACCCCAAGCACAUAUUUGCCUCCAAUACAUUCCCUUCAAAGAUCUAGAUUAAAAGUUUUUGCAAAUAUAAAAAAUUUUCCACCAGCAGUUUACAUCACCAACAAAUACUAAAUGAAAUAUAAUGGAAGUAGACUGCAUUCUAAAAGAAGAUGCUAGUGUUGUUUAAGUGCCUUAAAAUCUUUACAAUGCUACCUUACCCAUGAUACAAUUAGAAAAUUGUCUAAUUUAUGAUGAUAGAAACUUUAAUGAAUCAUGGAGUAUAAAAUAGUAAUGCACAUGGAACAUAUACCAUAUCAUUUGACACAAACCAGUGAAAUAUGUGGACUUUAAUGUCAAACAUAUUAGGACCUAUCGAAGUGGGCUAAAUUUAAUGGAUACAUGCUAUGGGAGAUUCAAAAUGAUAUGAGCAAGUAUGGUACUAAAUGGUCAUUAGUAGAUAUUUGAAGAUUUCCAUAAGAAACAUCAAACCUGUUGAUCUGAAGCUUCUGGGGAAUGAUAAGAAGAUGCAUCAUCUUCCACCAAUGGAGUGAUAUCCAUAGAUGCCAACUGUUGCUCCUUAUGAUUUCCAAAGUAUCUGCCCAUGACCUCAGAUUCUGUGACAGCCACCAUAUUCGUAGUCAUUUUGACUGGGGUAACACUUCUUGUUGAUGUAUUUUCUGAACCACAGCAAAUAACACUAUCACUUGAUGAUAUAGAAAGCACAGAAUUUUGUCCUGAUGAAUGCUUCCCUUUAGAUUCGUUCUUUAGCUCGUUUUGGAACACAUGAUUACCUCUAACUGAUUGAACAUUUUCUGAAUGCAACCCAGGAACAUACUGAAACUUCCUGAAACUGAACUUUCUUAACUUGGGCUGUGCCUGAAUGACAGAUUCUUGAGUCUUUACUGUUCUCUGAUUGAUACCAGCUUUUGGACUCAUAAUGCCAGUAGAAUAGGUUGAGGGAGAUCCCACUGUUAAAUUUCGGAAGCAAACAUCCUUGCGGCCAUCCCUACUGCUAAUGCAUAAAGAAGUACCAGAGUUCAUAGAUCUAUCUUCAGUAUAAAAAUUAUUGCUCUUCCCACCAAGCUUGAAAUGGGAACUUCCAAGCCUCAUGCCAUUAUCAGGCAAGGCAAGCAUUUCACCUAGUGUUCUAGUUUUUAACUUACUUCCAGUAGCUAAUCCAACUUCUUGACACCCUUGAGUUGUCUUCCAUCUUUCUGAGAUAUUUUUCUUGGCUUCCUUGUCGAGACAUAAUCCAUCUGAAUUGCAAAAAGAGGCUUGAUAUCCAUUCUUCAUGUGAGACAAAUAAGGAAAAGAGACAAUCAAGGAUUUUGACUCUUUUAUUGUGUUUCUUUCACUUGGUGUGUUUUUGAAAUUGUUGCUUGUCCCAUGCUCUGUCGAUCUAGGAAAAUGCUUUGUGGUUUCACUUGACAAACUAUCCAUUUGUUUGAUAAAUUUGAUUUCAUCAGCCAAUUUCUUCGUCAAAUAAGAAUCUGGGUUUUGUUUUUCAGCAUAGAGCUCUUUGUUUUUCCAAUCACCUGAACAAGAAUCUGGAUAGGUAUGAAGUAAAGAAGACCCUCUAGGAACACACUCUGACCGCUCAGCAGUUGGCUUCAGAACAACAAUCCUUGAACGGCGAGAGAAUGAUCCAAUCUUUGACUCAUCUUGGUAUCUUGGCACGCUAUUAAUGAUAUCAGGACUAUCCUCUCCUUGAGAACCUUUUAUAGGAGCAUGCUCUGGUUUCUGAUGCAUUUUAAGAUUUCCUGAAUCAAUUCUCCACCCAGUUUUGACGCAAAUGUCACUCUUUCCACAUUGAGAAGAAGCUGACGAGUUUAAUGGUAUAUACCUUGAUUGCAUGUUAAGAGAGACGCCUUGUAGAUCGCAAAGAUGCUUAGAAAUCAAAGAACUUGGCUUCUGAAGAUAACUUUGAAAAUGGUCCUUUCUCAAAUCCGCUUCAGAUAGAUCGUGAGCUUUCUUUAAAGUCUCAACAUCCAUGUCCACUGACAUUGAAUCCACAUCCAUAACCUUCUGGCUCUCAAAUGCCAUCUUUGGCUCUGGUGAGCUUGGUUUUGCUUUCAUUUUUUCAACUGAUACUUUGUAAUGCUUCUUCCUCUUUAGUGUUUCUUGUACUGCAUAUACAUGCUCAAAAUCUUCUUGAUCUUCGACACUCGAACUAAAUGAUCGUUGUUUAUGAGAUGAACGCUUCUCCCAGACACCUAUAGAUGCAACUCUGUGCAAGUAAUUCUCGGAGAGCACUCUCUUCUGUUUCUUGACAGGCUGCUGAGGGGUUAAUUCAUCAAGGCCCAUCAAUCUUGCAAUGACACUAGGCGUGCUUUGCCUAGAUUCCAAUUUCGUAGACAUUUCUCCCACUAGUUUAAAUGGACACUCCCUAAGGUCAUGAAUUCUAGAAAAUGCAAGACAACACCUGCACCAAACACAGAAAAAUUCUAGGUGAAAAUAGUAAUUAAACAUAUACCCCACAAAAUGCCUUCCCAUUUCAUUUUACUUGACUUUUUUGGGCUAACUACUAAAUAUGUAAACAAGACAUAAUAACACCCUCAAGAGCAAACCAAUGAUAGCCCACUUACUCUAUUUUUCCUUAAUCCUAAUGCUGCAGCAGCAACUGGAAUCAGACACAAAGCUUAGAAGCACUUAUAUUUUUCCACAGUCCCCUGCUUCCCCGAAAUGAUUUUAUGAUAUUUCAGCGAAGACGGAUAUAUAUCAAAUUAGUGAAAAAUAACCUUAAAAAACUAACAAGAAAAAAGGAAAUAACUCAAAGAGCUUUUGAAUGAAAGCAUAUAAAUAUGAAUCCUAAGCCUGACCAUAAUCUCAAAAAGUAAUGCACAUAAAGGAAUAAUUCUUUUACGGAAGACGUUCUUCAGAGGUGAAAGCAUCAUCCCGUAUGUCCUAUAUCUAUGAAUCAAUGUUUUUCUUGAAUAUAAUAAGGAAAGGGAUAAAGACAAAACAACCACUUAGGAAACAAAGAUGAAACAUGAAUAAAAUCUGUGACCGGAGAAGAAAGAAAAACAAAAAAGAGAAUAGAAGAAGAAGAAAAAGAGAAAGGAACUUGUGAAAGGCAUUGAAUGGCUAAUGAAUGAUGAUGAUUGGUAUCCUAUAAAAGCCAAAAUCAGAUAUUUUUAGAAAAACCCUAAUGUCAAGAACACAGUAUGGUCACAACGAGCAAUCAACAUGGAUAAAACAAAAUAAAUAAAAAUAAAACAGCAACUUUUGGCAAGAAAUGAUUAGAACAGCAUGAGAACAAAGUGUAAAGUGCAAAGCAAAAUGGAUGAUAAACCAAACAAGUAUUGACCAUAACUUUUCAAUUUUAUUUCAAAACAAAAACAAGACAAUAUCAUUCUGGUAGCCACUACAGUUUUUUUUUUUAAAGAAAAAACCACCAUUAAAUUAACUCCACCUUAAUAAACAAAAUCCCACUUUGAGAAUAUCACAAGCAAGAAUAAAAAACCCACCCAUGAAAAAAAUACCAAACAAUCAGAAAAUAAAUAUUAAACAACCCAAUAAGGGAAAAGGAAAGAAAAGAAAACCCAUAUCCUGAAUCAAUAAAAGAAAUAAAAUCUGACCUUCAUUAAUAGAUCUGCAACUGGGGUUUCUUUAUAUGCUCAUGAUUUGAUUUUUCCAUAUACACUCCAUGAAAUCUGUAUUAAAUUCUCAAUCUGGAGGAAAAUGAUUCAGAUGAUUCUCUCUGUUUUGCUUAUAAUUCAAGUAAGAAGAGACAAGAGCCCACAAAUUGAAAAGGACAAGUCCAGUCAGCCGUAUAAUUAAUGAAAAUGGUCAAAAGGGUAAGGCAAUACUUCAAAUUUAGCAAAUUUUAACACGCAAAAAAGUUGGUCGGUUAUAUAAAAAAGAAAAAAAACUGAAAUUUUUCCGAAAACAAAGUAAAAAUCAGAGUGUCGUAAAGAUAAAAAUGAGAAAUUGAUAAGGAGGACGAGUACCCAGAUAAUAGAAAAGGCAGAGUUGGAUUCUUUUUUUCUUUUAAUAAAGGUGUCCUUUUAUGGUAACAAAGGUGUCGUUUCAUGUAUCUACGCGCGAACAUGGAUUGUCGUUUUCGCGUAUUUCGCGCCAAAAAAUAUACACUGGUGUCGUUUCGGUAGUUGUGGAAAUUGAUAUCGCCAGUUACGAUUUUGCUUGGUGCAGGAACGAACCGUCUGUUUUUUAACAGUUUGAUCUCUGAGUGGUGGUGGGCGGAUAGUAAAAUGAUCGGUUGGGCAAAUAAUUUUUUUUUUCUUUUAAAUAUAAUUAAUAAUUUAUUUUUAAUUUAGUAAGUUACUAAUUUACAAUUGCAUUUGCAUGGGAUUGUGAUUUGACCAGAUUUGGUUUGGGUAUCUUAAUCUCUUUUGGAUCCAACUAGGGCUUCUAUCCAUUUAAAACAAAAUUAGGGUUACUGUCUUGGGACCCACGGCUAUAAUUUUUUUAUACAAAAAAUAAAUAAUUCAAUUCUAAAAAUUGGACCAAAAAUUAUAUGAUAUAUUAUUUUUAAAUUGUCUACCUAAUAUCAAUUGUUACAUUUAAAUACGGAAAUGAAUUUGUUAUAUAAUAACUAUAAUUACUAACAAGUCAAGUUUACCCAUGUUAUUAAUAACAUAAUUUAAAAAUAAUAAUGACGACUAGUAAUUGACAAAAUAUAGUGUGAAUAUUUUUUAAAAAAAUUAUAUUUUGAUGUGACGUGUGCUAAUAUAAUGCAACAUUGAUUAUAAUAUUAUCUUUGUGAAAACAUAAUUAUUAAUUUUCCAUGUAACUCAUUAAUUGCAUUUGCCCUUUGACCCACAAAACUAGUAGGGUAUAAUUGAGACCACCAUGCCUUAUUAUGGUCCAUUAAAAGAACCAUUUUUUAUUCUUUUUAUUAUUUGUUUAAUGGUUUAUUUGAAAUGAACAAUGUAUUUUUUUUUAUAAAUUUAAAUUUGAAAUAAAUAAAAAAAUAUUAUUUAUUGUUAAAUAUGUAACGGCUCCGGAAAUUUAAAUGAAAUGUAUGUAUUAAAAUCUCAAAUGCCGAAUCGUAAUAAAAAUUUUGAUUAACAUCCCUUACACAAUAACCAAAACGUACUCAAAACAUAAAGGAACAAACUAACUAAAAAAGAUACUCGAAAUAAGAACUAUAAAUAUAACUAUCAAGUAUUUAAAUGUCCCCUUCGCCGUCUUCCUGCGGAACGGACUCGAGAANNNNNNNNNNNNNNNNNNNNNNNNNNNNNNNNNNNNNNNNNNNNNNNNNNNNNNNNNNNNNNNNNNNNNNNNNNNNNNNNNNNNNNNNNNNNNNNNNNNNNNNNNNNNNNNNNNNNNNNNNNNNNNNNNNNNNNNNNNNNNNNNNNNNNNNNNNNNNNNNNNNNNNNNNNNNNNNNNNNNNNNNNNNNNNNNNNNNNNNNNNNNNNNNNNNNNNNNNNNNNNNNNNNNNNNNNNNNNNNNNNNNNNNNNNNNNNNNNNNNNNNNNNNNNNNNNNNNNNNNNNNNNNNNNNNNNNNNNNNNNNNNNNNNNNNNNNNNNNNNNNNNNNNNNNNNNNNNNNNNNNNNNNNNNNNNNNNNNNNNNNNNNNNNNNNNNNNNNNNNNNNNNNNNNNNNNNNNNNNNNNNNNNNNNNNNNNNNNNNNNNNNNNNNNNNNNNNNNNNNNNNNNNNNNNNNNNNNNNNNNNNNNNNNNNNNNNNNNNNNNNNNNNNNNNNNNNNNNNNNNNNNNNNNNNNNNNNNNNNNNNNNNNNNNNNNNNNNNNNNNNNNNNNNNNNNNNNNNNNNNNNNNNNNNNNNNNNNNNNNNNNNNNNNNNNNNNNNNNNNNNNNNNNNNNNNNNNNNNNNNNNNNNNNNNNNNNNNNNNNNNNNNNNNNNNNNNNNNNNNNNNNNNNNNNNNNNNNNNNNNNNNNNNNNNNNNNNNNNNNNNNNNNNNNNNNNNNNNNNNNNNNNNNNNNNNNNNNNNNNNNNNNNNNNNNNNNNNNNNNNNNNNNNNNNNNNNNNNNNNNNNNNNNNNNNNNNNNNNNNNNNNNNNNNNNNNNNNNNNNNNNNNNNNNNNNNNNNNNNNNNNNNNNNNNNNNNNNNNNNNNNNNNNNNNNNNNNNNNNNNNNNNNNNNNNNNNNNNNNNNNNNNNNNNNNNNNNNNNNNNNNNNNNNNNNNNNNNNNNNNNNNNNNNNNNNNNNNNNNNNNNNNNNNNNNNNNNNNNNNNNNNNNNNNNNNNNNNNNNNNNNNNNNNNNNNNNNNNNNNNNNNNNNNNNNNNNNNNNNNNNNNNNNNNNNNNNNNNNNNNNNNNNNNNNNNNNNNNNNNNNNNNNNNNNNNNNNNNNNNNNNNNNNNNNNNNNNNNNNNNNNNNNNNNNNNNNNNNNNNNNNNNNNNNNNNNNNNNNNNNNNNNNNNNNNNNNNNNNNNNNNNNNNNNNNNNNNNNNNNNNNNNNNNNNNNNNNNNNNNNNNNNNNNNNNNNNNNNNNNNNNNNNNNNNNNNNNNNNNNNNNNNNNNNNNNNNNNNNNNNNNNNNNNNNNNNNNNNNNNNNNNNNNNNNNNNNNNNNNNNNNNNNNNNNNNNNNNNNNNNNNNNNNNNNNNNNNNNNNNNNNNNNNNNNNNNNNNNNNNNNNNNNNNNNNNNNNNNNCUCAGUAUCGAAAAACGAGCCAAGGAGAGAAAAUUUACCUCGAUUGGUGGUCGGAAACUUCUCCGGUGCAGCGGCAGGUGGCGGCAGCCGGCUCCUCCAGCAUCUGGUUCUUCUUCUUCGGCGAAGCACUGGCGGCUAUGGUUUUGUGGUCAGGUGUGGGUAGGGUUAUUUAUACUCUUUGCCUUUUAAUCUCAACCGUCCAUCAAGAUUAAACCUGAACCGUCCGAUCGCGAUCUAAUUAGGAUUAAAUCUGGGCCGUCCGGGCGCACGUUUGAUCUGGGCCGUUUGUGCGCACGUUUAAUCUGGGCCGUCCGUGCGCGCGGGAACGGAUCUGGGCCGUCCGAUUGCGUGCACGCGAAUCGCUCACGUGGCCCGUCCUGUGUCAGCGUUUCCUUGCCACGCAGCGUGUCCUGGUUGGCCGGGGCUGCUGACCGGGCCGCUGACGUGGCUGCUGACGUGAGUGCUGACGUGACACAACUUUUCUAAAUUGCGUUUGACCCCCGGGUUUCGAUUUUGUUUUCAAAAACACCUCCAGAAUCUAAAUUUUCACUCUUUUUUUUCAAAAUCAAUUUCAAUUAAAUUCAAAUAAUAUUUUUACCCAAUUUUAUCAUUAUUAUUAUUUUUAUUUUCAUUAAAUUAAAUUAAAUUAAAUCUAAAAAAAUUCAAAUACAAAAAAAAAGAAAAAUAAAAAUAAUAAGAAUAAAAUUAAAAAUACUUGGGUGUUACAAAAUAAAUAGAUUUCAAAUUUUUAUCUGCAUUAUGAAUAUAUUAUUUAAAUUUUAUUUUAUAUUGCAUUUUAUAUUCUAACUUUAUUUUAAACUAAGGUAAAUUAUAUAUAUGCGAUCAAUAUUAAGAUAAUUAUAAAUAGGUACAUUAUUUUUAUUGCUUUUCUAUUUUUGAUAAACUAAAAUUUUUAUGUUUUUAUUUUAUAUAACAAAAUAAUUUAUUAUUUUAUUAUUUUUUAUCAUAUUAUAAUAACAUAAUUGGUACGUGUGAUACGUAUUUAAUUACUGUUUUAAAAAAUAUAUAUUAAUAAUAGAUAUUCAUUAUUAUUAAUUGAUAGAAUUUAACUUGAAUUUAAAUUUAAUGGAAUCCGAAUUAAAAAUUCUAAAGCUCAUUAGAACAUGAUAAUAAGUUUACUAAAUAUCAAUAAAAAUAAUUUAAAAAACAAAAUUUUGAACCUAUGGUAAUUGCUUUAUUUACUUGAUUUAAUAUAUCACGUUUAAAUCUAAUUUAUCUAAAAACAAAUUACAAGACUAAAGUAAAUAAUAAUUUAUUGUCUUAGUAUAAUUUCAUGCGUUUAAUGUCAUAUAAAUUUUUAUGUUAUAAAAUUUAAAAUUAUUAUAAUCAUCAAUCUCGUGCGGUUGUGCAUGAUAAAAUUUGUAUAGCUACCGUACAAAUUUUAAAUGCUUACAAUAAAACAAAUUAAAAAAUAGAUUAUUAUAUAUAUAUAUAUUCAUAAGUUGCUUAUAAUCAAAAUUAUUAAUCUAACAAAGUUUAAAAAAUAAAAUAUAAUAUAAUAAUUAUGUACUUUUAUUCAUAUACCUUAAUACUAACUACUGAUUUUACUAAUAAUAUAUUAAUCUUAUGCUUUUAAUUUAACUAUUAAAUGCACCUUAAGUUUAAAAAGAUCUAUAAUAUUUUUUCAUGAUAUUUUUUUUUAAAAAUAUUUUUAAAUAGUUGAAAUAUUUUUUUAUACAAUCUAAUGGUCCAAAAUUAUUGAUGCACAUUGUAUAUGACUCAAUCGCAUGUAGUAUUCUCCCGUAAAAAAAAAAAAUUAGAUCAGAUAUUUAUCUGUUGAUGAGUAAUAUAAUUAAAGAAAUAUAUUUAUAUGAAUUUUUUUUUGGUUUAAAAAUAUAAUAAAUUUUGUAAUAUUUAAUUAAAUUUAAUUAUUACAAUUAUAUUAAUAAAUUAAAUAUUUAAUUAUAAUAAAUUAUAUGUUCUUAAUAAAAUUUUAAGUUAUGAUGUUCAAAUAAAACAAAUUUUAAUUAAUAAACCAUCGUCUUUGUUCAAAUUUAGAACAUGGCUUAAAUAGCGGCUUUGUUCGCCAUCACAUCCAGGAGCCAAUUUCUAUCUUAGUUCCCUUUUUUUUUUUAUAGAGUUUCCAUUUUUGAUUUAAUUACUAAGAAAAGGAGAGAGCAGUAAAUUUUAUUUUAAAUCAUGAAAUAUUGGAAGGGACUUUCCGGUCAAUUUUCUUCGGGCAUUUAUUGAUUUAUCAACCAAACCAGUAAAUUCCAAGCUUAGAACCCACGCAUACCCCAUCAAGGCCAACCCCUUUCUCAUUUCGUUAUUUGCUGCCUUCUCUCUUUUAUCUCCAAGGUCUCUGUAGAAUAAGAAUUGAACACAUCACUAGCAACAAAAAUUUCUCAAAAUGGCUGUGGAGGUCUGUGUCAAGGCUGCUACCGCUGCCCCUAAUGUUCUUGGAGACUGUAAGUUUAUCUUCUUCCAUAAUUGCAUGCAUUUGAGUGUUUUGAUUGACAUUAUUCUUGAAUUUUAUGCCAUGAUUCGUGUUUUCAGGUCCCUUCUGCCAAAGGGUUCUCCUGACUUUGGAAGAGAAGAAGGUUCCCUACAAGACCCACCUGGUCAAUCUCAGUGAGAAGCCUCAAUGGUAAGAUCAGAAAUCUUCAAUGGCGAGGUUUGUAUUUUUUGAAUGGUACAGCUAAUGGGUUUUGUUUAUUGUUCUAUUUGGGGAUGGGGAUUAGGUUCUUGGAGAUUAGCCCAGAAGGGAAAGUGCCUGUGGCGAAGUUUGAUGACAAAUGGGUGCCUGAUUCUGAUGUUAUUGUUGGAAUGAUUGAGGAGAAAUUUCCUGAGCCUUCCUUAAUUUCUCCUCCUGAAGUUGCCUCUGUGUAUGAUUCUCUCUCUCUCUCUCUCUCUCGACUUGCUGUUUUGUUUAUGGUUUUGUUGUCUUUUGAUGUAUGGCAUAAUUGUGCGAAGUUCAAAAUUUUUGGAAUCUUCUGUUUUUGUUGGCUGUUUAUGAUUUGUUGUUUUUCUUUCAUACUUUAAUCUGGUAGCUAGCUUUUCAAAUAUUAUGUUUUUUGUUUGUUGGGGUCUGCAAUUAUCUUCUUUGCAUAUUUUCUGCCCUGGUAGGAUAGGUUGCGCGCGGAAAACUGAAAGGUGAUUCGAGAAGCUAAGCUUUUGUUUAAUGGUAAAAAUGUGAAAACUAUGUUUGGAAAAUUAGAAUGGAAAUAUAAAGUGAGUUGAAGAUAAUUUUUUACUCGUUCCCCAUUCAUGCUAUAUUUUCAUUUUCUUUCUGGAAAUCCUAUUUUCAUUUUCAAUGGCUGUCUAUGUUUAUAUGCAUAAAAAUACAUGAAUCUAGAAAAACUUAACACUUAUUCUACAAGUAACGUGACCUAAAAGUUUCCCCUGGAAAUCAAAAUGCAUUACCACUUCCUUACAUCUCACACAAAGUUAAUAGCUUGUAAAUGCCACGAACAGGACUUUGUUUUGGGCGGUCAUCUGUUCAUUUUUUUUAUUUUUUGGCUAAUGAAUUGUGUGUCUCCCUUUGCACCUUCUUUAAAAAGUAUAAAAGGAGAGAAGAAAAUAGUUUUCUUUUUCUAUCCAAUCAUUGGCUUUUCCCUUAUUUACUUGCUUGACUCCUGUGAUUCGUUAUCAACUGAAAUUUUGAUUCUCCACCUAAUUGGGUACUGCAGCGGAUCAAAAAUAUUUUGGGCAUUUUUCACAUUUCUGAAGAGCAAGGAUCCCAGUGAUGGCUCGGAGCAGGCUUUAAUUAAUGAACUAAAGGCACUUGAUGAGCAUCUUGCUGGACAUGUAAUUUCACAAAGUCUUAAACAUAACCCUUUGUUAACGUAUAAGAUCAUUUUUAACCUUUUUGUUUUCGAGGAACAAUGAUUUUAUCAUGUUUGCGAUGUUGAAAAUAUAUGAUUUUUUUGGAGCCUUGAAUCAGGGGCCUUUCAUCGCUGGGGAAAAGAUCACUGCCGUUGAUUUGAGUUUGGCACCAAAAUUGUACCACCUCGAGGUUGCUCUUGGCCACUUUAAGAAGUGGACUGUUCCUGAAAGCUUGACUCACUUACGGGGCUACACGAAGGUGUGUGACUGUUGAACUCUGGAUCAUCUAUGCAGUGCAUUUUUGGUCAUAGAGAAUUGCUGAGAUGUUGAUAGCUUUCCCAUUUGUUCAUAAAAUAGGUUAAUACUAAAGUGUGUUACUUAUGACAAUCUUGGUCUGUGACCAUGGAUUGAUAACUGAUCCAUUUCAGGAGGUUGAGUCAAGCUGUUUAAGUGAAAUAUUAAUAUGCACUGUAUAACAACUCUAUAGGAUGUUGUAGUUUAAAAUAAGUAUGACAUCUUAUCUGCUGCGCAAUCUCUGUCAUGUGUCUCUGAGAGAGGGAGAGAAAUUUUUGUUGCGUGGAAGCCCUUUUCAAAGAAAGGUCUCAUGAUUUUUCUUAGUUAAGAACAGUGUAAUGCACAGUCAUAUUGGUAAGAUCACACUGAGUCCGAAGUUUCAUAUAUUUGCAAUGCUCAUAUCAUGAAAUUUAUGCCCUAUUUAAUCUUAUGUACUCCCUGAAUAUGCUAUAUAUGUUCUGCUCUUGCCAUUGAAGAUGCUUAUAAAGUUAUCCUUUGAGAACCUGUGUACAAAACCAUUCCAUUACAGUUCAUGGCUGCAAGAAUUGGUAAUACAUUUUUUGUUGUGAUGUGAGGUUUUAAUUGGCUUUGGCUGAGUUUGUGUUGGGAGGUUCUGGGAUCUUUGUAUUAUUUGGUUCUUAUGGUCUGUUGCAGCCAAGAAUCCGAGGUACUGAGUCACUUUUCCCUACAUAGUUUCCUUCAGAAGUUGCAUAAGAUGUAUGGUUCUUUUUUCGCUUGGGGGCGGGGGAAGGUUGAUGACUCAUGNNNNNNNNNNNNNNNNNNNNNNNNNNNNNNNNNNNNNNNNNNNNNNNNNNNNNNNNNNNNNNNNNNNNNNNNNNNNNNNNNNNNNNNNNNNNNNNNNNNNNNNNNNNNNNNNNNNNNNNNNNNNNNNNNNNNNNNNNNNNNNNNNNNNNNNNNNNNNNNNNNNNNNNNNNNNNNNNNNNNNNNNNNNNNNNNNNNNNNNNNNNNNNNNNNNNNNNNNNNNNNNNNNNNNNNNNNNNNNNNNNNNNNNNNNNNNNNNNNNNNNNNNNNNNNNNNNNNNNNNNNNNNNNNNNNNNNNNNNNNNNNNNNNNNNNNNNNNNNNNNNNNNNNNNNNNNNNNNNNNNNNNNNNNNNNNNNNNNNNNNNNNNNNNNNNNNNNNNNNNNNNNNNNNNNNNNNNNNNNNNNNNNNNNNNNNNNNNNAGUUCCUUCAGAAGUUGCAUAGAUGUAUGUUCUUUUUUCGCUGGGGGCGGGGGAAGGUGAUGACUCAUGUUAAAAAAAAGAUUAACUGCAUUCCAAGAUAGUAGCAAAGUAGGUAAAUCUGUUAUAAGCUGCAAAUCUCGCCCUUACAGUUGUGUUGGUUUGGUCCGUUGCUAUUUAUAUGUAUGUUUGUGGCAGUUGAUUUUGCUAAUGAAUCAAAGCUUUUGGGAUCUGAACAUGUUCUUAUAAUAAUGUUCUGCAGUUGGUUUUCUCUCGGGAAUCUUUUGUGAAGACUAAUGCUGCAAAGGAGUAUGUGAUUGCUGGAUGGGCACCAAAGGUCGAAGCAUGAGUUACUUUUAGAAUUCGAUGGCCUUUAAGCUAUUGUUAUAGGUGAGGCUUAUGUUGGAUGAAUGCUGCUUCUUCUAUUUGCCUAAUAAGUGUUAGAUCUAUCAUCUAUCAGUAUUUUUUUCUUUUGAGAAGAUAUCAGUAUUAAUAAAAUAACUCUGUAUUUAAUAUAUGCUACUGAUUGGUAAGCAAGUAUCUUUAUGAAAAGUAUUAUCAGCUGUCGAAAUACUAUUAUGAUUUUCGGUUUGUUCCCUUUUUCCUGAAGGUGUUAGAAUGAUCCUUAGAUGGACAACAAUGAAUAUAUAUUCUAGCAGACUUUGCGGAUAGGAUUUGAACAUCUGACACCUUGUUGGGAACUGGACCUAGAGCAGCCAAAGAAUCUCUUUUGGCUGCAUCAUUUUUAUGUUUCUCAAUAUAGAAAGGAUAGAAGCCAUGCAAGUGGGCAAUAGAAAUUCUAUAGAUUCAACAUGGGUUUCUUUGUUGUAGCUGGAGAUAUGGCCACUUAGGCACACAGAUUGUGUCUGCCGAAGCUUGUGUUCCAGCAAAAAAUUUGUUAUUUCACUUAACCAUAAGAGACUUGAUGGUCCCAUAAACUGAUUCUUUUUCUCCCCUUAAACCCUCACAAUGUUUGAUAUGAGAGAGAAUUUCACCCAAGUUUUUAUUCAUGAAACAAUAUUUUGGUAGUGGUUUUAGAUUGAUACGAGAAGUCAAAAACGUAGGGUGGUUUAGUGAGGAUAUUUUCUUUUUGCUAAGAACAGGAUCCGAUAGCUAUGUUACAAGAGAAGAAAGGUUGCAGACUGAUCCAAUAACUGACACAGAGAAUCACGUAUCAACAGUUUCCUGUGAAAGUGGUGGUGCCAACUGUGUUCUGGGUUCAAAGAGAUGAAAAUGAGUGGAAAGAUUCAAGUAAACCAAUUAGUUAGAAAUUAGAGGAUUGAAAUUCAAUGAGUCUAAACAACUACAGAUGCUGCCAGCCUAUUGUAAAACCAUAUAAUUACUGGUCUGUCCAACUGACUAGCUUAUGAUCAUGUUUGGAACUAAAAAUUUUAGUUACCUAAUUUAUUUGGUCCUAUUGCAAGUUACGAGACCCUUCAACAUGGGUAUGUCUGAGUAUGGUAUUGUAUUUCCGUGAAUAAUUUAAUAAAAUUCUAGAUACAGUCUAUUGAGUAAGAUUUUCUUAAAUUAUUGAUGGAAAUGUGAUAUCACAUUGGUGGAUACCCCUGGUACAAAAUAUCUUUCAGCGAACUAUAUCUUAUAUUACCCUUAAUUUACUUUCCAUUCAUUUUUGUUCCCACUGGAGUUAUCAGCAUGAAGAUUUUACCGUAAUUCUUGAGGGCAUUUCGCUUUGGAUUGCAGAACACAACUAUAUGAACUAAAUGCUGCUUUUAUUUUGUUAGCUUUAGGGAUAUAAUGGUUUUCAUUAUUUAAGUAGGUAGUGAUUAACAUUAUUAUGUACGAAAAGUGAUACUAUCGUUAUCAGUGUUGUCUGCAUUCUUUGGAAUAAAUAGUUGAUUUUUUGGUACAAUGAUUGUGGAUUUGGCCAAUCAUACUCUAGAAUAUAUUUGCUAAUUGGGUAGCUUUGUAAGAUGCACCCAAGAAAAAAACAUAUGACUCACAAGUCUUGCCUUGAAGCAAAUUGUUUUAUUCAACAAAAAUAGUGUGCUAGUUUGAUUUGGCCUUGAAAUUACUAGGAAAUAUUUAUUCGAAGUAUGUUGGUAAUUUGAGUUUUUACCACCAGUACUAUCGUAUAGUGGUUAAACUUCUAACAUUUUAUUUGAAGAUUAUGAAUCUUAAUAUUAUUGAACAUGUAGAAUUACUAUUUUGUUAAUAUUUUAUAAAUUGAAUAUCGUUGAUAAUAUUUGAUUUGUGGGUUUAAGAUUUAGUUCAUUACUAAGUCUGCAGUGGUUAAAUUGAUUUGGUGCUAACUGAGUCAUGACGAAAUGAUCAUUUCAUGAUAGUUAAUUUAGAGUACUUACCUCGAGUAAUAUUUAACCAGAUUUUUUCUAUUAAAAAUGUAUAUCUUGAGCUUUUUCUUUUGGUUGAUAAGUAAUUUGAAUGUUGUAUGAUAAGAUGUCGAUCGUAAUUGACAAAUGAAUGAACCAGCUAGCCUAUACCAUAUGCUGAAACCUAAACCUCCAAACCAUUGAAGCUGAAAAAAGCAAAAUGGAGCCCAGUAGUCCAAGGUUUCUCUCUGUGAUAUCAAUCAAGUUUCUUUCUUUUUUUUUUUUUUUUUGUUGGGUAAAAUCAAAUCAUUAAUAGCUUGUACAAUUAUUGUUCUUAAAUCAAUUUACUAAAAAAAGGUUUAGACUUUAUUUUCAAGAGAUGUAACAUCAAAAAAGAAUAAAAACAAAUGAAGACAGCUUGAUUCAAAUCGAGUCAUAAAAAUCAGGUCACUGACAUCAUAUUCCUUUUUAACUCUUUUACAGAAAAUGAAAAAAAUGAUCUUGAAAAUCUUAUACGACACCAAACAGCAACAUAUUACAUCAAACAAUAACAAAACAAAUUGAUGAGCAGAGUCUGUGAAAGAAGAUCAAACCAAAUUUGGUUUUGGUCGAACAAAACUAGAAAUCAAACCACAAAAUUUAAGCCACUCGUUAAGAUUAAGAAUAGAAACAAGACAUCAACAUGGUCUUCCUUUGUUUCACGAGGAAAAUAAAAACGAAUUAAAAGUUGUCGAUUGUGACGAGGCUGCUAACCAGACCAGUAGUCCCCACAGUUACAGGCUUCAUUUAUGAGAAAAGUAUGUGUCAUAGGAACGCAUGCAUUCGAGACAGAUUCUUAAAAUCCUAGCUAUGGCUAAAUCAAUUUUCUGGUACAACCCAGAAGACAUACAAAAUUCGAGAUGUAACAACCUGUCUCACCUCUUGUAUUUUACUACACCUAUACAUAUAUAUAUAUAUAUAUAUGCAUACACUAAAGAGCCUGAUAUGUAUGUUAUAAUGUUAUAAGUAGUAGCCAGUUGUUAUUCAGCACAUGCUCUAGCUGCUAAUUAUAUGGAAAUGGCACACUGUAAGAAAAACUAGCUCGAAAGUCUUGAUGUUGGAAAGGUCAAAGAAUAGAUUCAGUAAAAGUAAAUUUUUUAACUGUUUUAGUUUUAGGAGAAGAAACCAAUCAUUUUUCACCAUUACCCAGUAACAAGUAAUCAAUUAUUUCAUUAAGAGAGCUACUUAAUGAAGAUUACAGGGUUUCUCUUUUGUGUGUGUGUGUGUGUGUUUUCCUCUAGAAAUCAGAUAGCAUAUUGACGUGGCAGGCAGUGAUUGGUUAUGUCUUUAGUGUAAUUUUAUAUUAUAUAUUAUAUAUAUUUAUUAUAUAUUACAUCAUGAUUCCGUGCUCUUCCGUAUAAACAUGUGAAAAUAGGACCACAAACACAGUCACACUAUAUUUAAUAAUUCUCCUAAAGUAUUUUGGACGGAAGUGCAGAGAGUUUUGAGGGAAGCUAAUAUACCAACUAGAAAAAUACACACACAUGGAGUAGAGAUCAUUUUCAAUGGCGUAGGCGUAGGAAUUUAGUCGUCUGGUUCUUUGGAGGAAUCUGAGAUCAUCUUCUGGAUCAUUUGGCUUAUCUCUUCUUGGGACAUUCGAUCUUGUUUCGUUUGAGACUCAGCAUACGCCUCGAAGAACUCCUUGUUUUCUUUCUCUAAUUCAUUCCACACUGUUCAUACAUAGAUCAAACCAAUGAUGUUACAAUAUAUAGAAGGCCAAGUUUAUAUAUAAAUGUUAAUGUUAACAAAACAAUCGACUUGAUCAACCAAACCCUAGUGGCUACAGAGAGAUUUAGCUAAUUCAAACAUGAAGGCUAACAGAUUCUUCAAUUAGGUUACUUGCCCAAGAAGGAAUUGUGAUUUUAUAUGCAUUGAUGGAACUAUAUAUGAAGUUUGGUAAAUUAAGAUCAAUUGCUCAAGAAAGAGGUUGUAAGUCCAUAAGCUUGAUUAUGACUUACUAGAUCAAAAAGUGGAUGGUUUUUAAUGAUCUUUAUAUGGUUAAGACUUCUUUUUCAAAUGAUCUUUAUAUAAUUAAGACUGUUUUACUUUUUUCAGUUUCUGAAAAGAAUCGUUGCAUACAAAACUAACUCUAUGCAUCUCCGAUCCCUUUUAGUCCUAAACUGUUGUAAAGCAUGAUACUUGACGAGUAUCAAAAGAGACCAACUUGAUUUUUUAGUACAGUCUUAAUUCAGACUGCCUGGGGAUUUACCUUGAUGUAUCAGCUUACCCAAAGUUUGUUGAAGAUCAUGAUCAGGUAAAACUAAAAUCACCAAGUUACCAAAUUAGAAUUAAAACUAAAAUCAUGAAGUCGACUUUGAUCAAAACCAAAAUCAGUACGCUAUUAGAUCCAUCUUAUUACAUAUAAAUAUGUAAAUAUAUAUACAUAUAUGUAUAUGUCGAGUUAUGGUUUUUGUAUGCCUUCCAUGAUAUGUGCAAACAUGGAUAAAUAAGAAAAGGGAGAGAGUACUAAGGAACUAAAACAAACCAGUGGAGGUGAUCACAGGUUGAAUAUUUGCAUGUCUUGAGAGUGCUUCCAUGCACUCUUCUUUACUCAUGUGGAAGAUCAGACACUUCUCGAUCAGUGCUGCACCUGCAACAUACAAUAAAGUCACAAUCAUCAAUAAAAAAACAAAUAAAUCAGACAUAUAUACUAUUGUACCAUCACAGGAUUAUAAAGAUAUCAUCUNNNNNNNNNNNNNNNNNNNNNNNNNNNNNNNNNACUAGCUAGGGAACUUAAGUGUGUAUAGACAUAUAUAUAAUUAAAGGGAGAUGAUGAGAAGCUGGUGCAAUAUGAUAUGAUGUAGCAUGUAUAAAAGAAAACAAGGGGGCUAAUGAAUAAGAAUAUUGGUAGCAACUUAAAAGGAGGCUAAGAGGGGGUGGGGAUGGGUCCAGUAGACCCACGUGGGAGAUUGAUGAUAAUUGGCUGAGAAGGGAUUAGAGGAGAUUUGUAAAUGACUAUUCUUUGUCUUGUAGGGUAUUUUUCUUUCGCCAUUAGAGCAAAACCCUCUCCACGUGAUUAGUGGGUCCUGACCACCUACAAUUUUCCCAAACAGACAAAUCCCUCCACACCCAGUUGGCAUUCUUCAACAGUAGGUUUUUGAUCCUUCUCUCACAAUUCGUCACAUAUUGAUAUGCCAUCUCAUAUCACCACCUUAUAGUAUUUAUAAAAGACACGUCUUGAUUAAUUCAGUCAUUUCAAUAUACUCAAUGCUAUAUAUGAUUUUAAGGUAUACCUUGAUAAAUUCAGCACCUAUACUUUUCUUUUACUUGGAAACAUACAAUAUUUGCCCAUAAUGCACUGAUGGAGACCUGUUGCUUAAUCGACAAUGGCAUCUGCAAUAUCAAGAAUUUGAUCUUUGCUUCUGUUGCUCCUGAAUUAUGGUUCUGUUUUGUCAGGGUACAGUUUAUCUGCAGGCAUAUUUAUACUCAAGUCACAGCAAAGUAAAUGCAGCUGUCUGGAGAUUAAUAAUUAAGCUUAAAGUUAAAGAAAGGACUAAUGGUAAGUCGUAGAGACGAAUGUCAUUUAACAUCUUUGGCAGCGCCUCCGUAAACAAGUAUCCAUAACUCAAAAAGGCCGUCAAUAAUUGUAAUUUGAGAGAGGAGCUCUUGUGUGAUGAGAUUAAAUCAAACAUGCAAAUCAACAAUGGAGAAACAAAUAGAUUCAGAAUUUAUGUAGUUCGAUCAAAGUGAGUUACUCCAGAAAAGUAAUGAAUUCAUAAUUAACAGUAAAGAAGUCCGGAGCAACACCAUGUAACCCCACCUGUAAAUGGCAAUUAAACCAAAUGGUCUGAAAUGAUUAGUCGUUUAAUAGACCAAAUAAUUCUGUAGCUCUGUUAGAAUUCUUGACAGGUUUGUCAUUUUUCUUCUCUUUUCUCAUGCCAACACUUCAGUAUAUUCCUUCUCAAGAAAAAACCAAACAAUCCAAAAGUUUCAUAGCAGAAUAUAAUAAAAAGCCAACAAAAAAUACUCAAUGGAUUGAAACAAAAAGAAACUGUUUGCUUCUUUUAGAUAUUUUCCUCAAAUACAUAAUGUCAAGAGAGAUCUGAGGCUGUGGCCCCCCAGACUCGAAAUUAAGCUAUCCGUUCAAGAUACAAAACAGCUGCAGGCAAUGCAAGAAGCUGGAUAGAAAAUUUGGUGCUGGUGAUUUAAUAUACAUCUUGUACUUUUUAUCCCAAAUAAAAAGAAUCUCGAUAGAAAAUUACUUGCAAAGGAAGAAAUCAAAAUCCAGUGGGUAAGUAAUAUAUACAUAAACUUUUAAGUUAAUUACAUUCUAAAAACACAAAGUUCUUGGUGUACAUUUUUUUUACAUAAAUGUAUACGUCUAAAGGGUGCAAACAAUAUGCAAAUGCAGUUAUCAGUGGUGGUCCUCCGAGAAGACAUCCUAAUAGUUACAAAAUGCAGAUUGGCACGUGAUUCGAACUCUCACGUAACCGAUGAUGUUGCUCUUUCAACCUGUUUCUCAAGACUGAAUCACGCCAAUGGUAAAGAUUUAAUCUGAUUUUUAAUUAAACAUGAGAAGAACAUGCCAAACACAGAACAAUAACAAAAAAAAGUCACAAGAAAUUACCACCCCACACCGAAUUUUCAUGUGUUUGAGCUCAGUACUUCCAAUAUCUCUUUGACAGGAAAAGACAAACACAUAUUAUCAAUGCAACAGGCCUGUAAUUAGAAUUUUAAUAAAAUAACAGCAAGCAGAAACCUAAGUUUGUGAUUUCUCAUGAAGUCAAUUCCUUGUGUUACUAAUUUGGUUCUCUUUCUGUAGAAGACAACUUUCCAUGAGUAGAUAACAACUGUCCCAAAGGAAUUAGUGACCUAAGCAUGUCAAAAUAUCUUGUUGCCUAUGCAAAAUGAUUACUUUGCACAUUGGACAAACAAAUUUUAUAUCUUUUUACCACCUAGUCAUGGUUACUAAAGGGUAAUUGUUUGUUGAGAGGUAAAAUGAAGUCUGCUGCAACAUUAAUGAUUUUGGAGGGAAGUAAGAGGUAACAAACUCUUUGUCAAAAAUAUAUCAAACACUUGGCGUGCAGGAAGUUAAACAAUACAAGUACAUAAUAUACCAGCUGAUUAUGAUCACAGUGCAAUCCUAUUGACCUAUCUAUAUCUCAAAGAAUAGUUACUUACACUACCAACUGGCAAGCCUAUCUCUUUUUUGGAUGUAGUCUUUAAAUGUAAGUCUGUUUGAAAAAGCUAAGUUGGGAUUUUGAUGAUUAUAGAUAAAGGAAUGUACUAGAUUAGUAGUGGGUAGUACUAGUAUUUGAAGGGCAGUGAUAUUAGGAAACACAUAUUUAUGUACUUGACAAUGGACAUGCAAGCUCUGGAAUCAGAGAGAGGGAGAUAAGAAGAGAGGGAAACAUAUGAUCCAGAUUUGUUGAUGGAGGAUGAGGUUAUCCAUUCAUCAGAAAAAAACCAUGUAGCACAACUGUUUAGUUCCACAUCAGAAACCUCUUUAUUAUCCCAAGUUGUCCAAAUUCCCUUCUCCUUCUAGUAUAGUCCGAAAACAAGUCAUUUAUAUGUGAUCAAGACCACCACCCAAGUCGUACCGUACGAACCAUGUCGUCAAGAGUGAUAAAAACAGAGACCUGAAAAACGAACAGCAACCGAGUAAAGCACAUAAACCUCAAAGCCUUCUGUUACUAAUUAUAUUUCUUUUUGAUCAGUAAGCGUGAUAGAGAAGCCUAAUCACGUUGUAUGGGACAGGGCCCUGAAAAUUUUGGCCAGUUGAAUAUGCCAUGGACGUGACCGUUAAGAAAUCGGGGAAUCCAUGAAAUUUUACAACAGACAAUGGACCUGGAUCUCUCUAUAAGCCCAGCCCCAGGGUACGGAGAAUAGGUUGGGAUCACUGAACACCUUCAUAUGUAAAUCUAACUUCUACUUUUAUUGAAACACUUUCGGUAGAUCAUUACUAAAAUAUUUAUUAUUUUUUAUUUGAAGAAGUAGGACAAAUAUAUAUUUUAUUCAUUAAUAUAUUGUUCGAUUUGUAAUUUAUAGAAUUUUUUUACGUAACCUUAGUUUUUCAGGUUUUCUUCUCUAAUUUUAGCCUCACAUUUGAUGUUGCCGAUUGAAGACUCGCUAAUGUACUCCAAAAAAAUGUGUCUUCCGCUUUUCCGCACCUAUGUGGGAUAUUUCAAGAAGUCUCCAAGUAUGAUAUUGAUGGAGGAUCCUCCAUCCUAGUACUAUAGAAGAGCAUCAUCACUUGGCAACAUCAAGCUUUGGAUUUUCGCUAUGGAAUCCGAAGGAAAGAAUCACUAUAUUUUAUUUCACAAGGUAAAGCAUACAGGAGCCCUUUUUAUCAGGAUGUUCCGUAUAAGUUCGUUUCAUGCUUGAAGAUUUCAUCCUCUAGCUUUUAAUUUUUGACCUGCCGCCAGCGCCCAAAAGGACAUGAUCUCAACUACAACCAGAUUAGAACCUACUGUUACAGAUUGCUAAAAGCCAAGUAUGCAUUUGCAAGUGGAAAGAGUCCUGGAAUGAGCGUCAACACAAAUUGAAUAGGUUCGCAUUACUUGCAGAUUCUCAGAGAUUACUACAUGUGUUCUUUCAAUGACACCUUUUACCACAUUACAACGACUACCUGUGGGAAAACAACACCGUAGGUAAUUUUGUUGGAAUGACGUAAAGAAAUCUUUCAAAACUUGUAUCUAAUGUGUCAGAUCAAUAAAAUCCAGAAAAACUUCCACCGGACUUAGAUUUUUGUUCACUAGUUGAAAUUAAAAUCUCUACAGAUUUUUAAUUUCUAUUUCUAAUCGAACUCCUCUCAGGACCCGCAAAAAGAUCUAAAAAUGCUUGGGAAAAAAAAAUGCUGAUAGUCAAAAAGAACCUUGAGUUAACCUCCAGCCAUUAUGAAUACAGUGCAAGUACAAAUUACUCAUUUGGUUCAGAAUUGUGGGGUAAAUAAUUGGGAGGCCCGCUCAAGCGAGUUCUGCAAAGUAAGCAGCGUCAGCGCUCGGCCAGCCUAUCACCCCUCCAUAAAUUCUUGCGCAUCAUUUUAGAUCGAGCGCGGCGACCAGCUCUCACCGGUCGCUUUGUUUUCCUUACUCAUUAGUUUAAGGCAGUUUGGCAAGGCUCUCCAAAGUUUUACUUAAAGAGGACUUCAUAGCACGGGAUUUCGCUUUCCUAACGAUGUGGGACUCCGCGGAAGAGUAAUAGAACUAUAACACGCACUCUUCAGCCUGUUUGUGCAUUCUGUCGAUACACUCUUUUUCAUUUAAAUUUAUUAAUUUGUCAUCAAUAAUUUUAUACUUAUUAGAAAUUAUUAGAAUAAUACUUAUUCAAUCUAAAUAUUAUUAAAAUAAAAAUAAUUUAACAUUAAUUUUUAUUGAAUAAAUAAAUAUUUUUAAAUACUUCAUAAAAAUCUAAUUAUAAUGAUUAAUUUUUUUAUUAUUAUCUAGCUUUUAGUCAUUUCAAUAUUUUUAAUUUUGAUAAAUAACUAGUUAAUAUAAUACAAUGUUUUAUACUAAAACGGAAAUCAUUGUUAAAAGUAAGAACCAGAAUGUUAGAUAACUUGACAAAAUAACUUUGGUAUAACCCCCAUUAAUAUUCGCGGUUAUAGAUAGUUCUAAACAUGUUAAAAUUAUGACUCUCACGCAAUAACAAGCAAUCUCACUUUACUAAUUUUCGGUUUAAAUGUAAUAUUUUGGGACCAAAAAUCGGCUCAAAUUUUUUUAAUUAUAAAAAAAUUAUAUAAAUAAUUAAUUCAAUUUAUUUUAAAUUAAUUUUAUUAAAAUUUUAAGAAAAAAUAAAUUAAAAAUGAAAUUAAAAAUAAAUUUUAAAAAAAUUGGUGAAAUUUUGAAUUCGGAUGAUAUUUUUGAAAGAAAAUUUAAAAACAGAUGAUUAAAAUGCAAAAAGAGAAAGUUUGGUCAUGUAGAACAGCCCAGUCAGUAUUCUCGCAAAUCAGAACACACCGCGUGACAACCCCGCUGAUAUCGGUACCAUGCGGGAAGCCAUGCAAGCGAUCCACAUGUCCAACGAUCCGAUGAUCCAGAUUUAAUCACGCGCGCGCGAACGAUCCAAAUGUGUUCUCUUUUUAAAUGCAAUCGAACUAUCAAAUUUAAUCUGAUUGUGCAGUUCAAAUUUAUUUUCCGAAUAAGAUAGAUCCAACGGAUGAGAGAGGACCAUGCAUACCUGAAUGGAUGAUCCAGAUCAACACGGGAUGAGUAUUUAAGUAUUGUAUUUUAAGGAACUUUAACCCUAGCCGCACUUGCCCUUGCAGUAAAAAGAGCCAACCACCAGCCGCUGUCACACCAGAGCCACCGCCAACCGCUAAAAAAGGUAAAAUUUUUCUUUUCCCGCUCAGAAUUUGAUUUCAAAUCUCACCGUGACCAUAUCGAAGCAAAAUGGACGACAAGUGAGGUAGAAACUGCGGGUAAAGCCCAGCAGGGCCACUACGGCCAAAAUCCUAAACCCCCUCCAAUGAUUCCCUUUCCGUUUCUUGUUCCACACGAUUUUUUUACAUUGUGUUCACCAUUCCUUUUUGUGUAUGUUAGCCGAAGAAGAAACCCCAGCGGUGAAGGAGAACCAGCAGAGCUGCCGCACCCAGAGACUCUCUUUGUCGGUAGGUUCGGUUUUUUAGUUUUUUUUUUUACCAACCGGGGGUUCCUAAUGUGUUUUUCGCAUGAAUAUGUGUAAAACUGGCUAAAAUCUGCCAGAUUGAGAUGAAUCACUAUUGUGGCCGGCGAGUCGGUGUUAGAGUAUGAUGCCGCCGCCGUACUGGAACCCUAAAAUUAGCCGAAAAAUAUUUUCGACAUCGAUUUUGAAUUUUUGGCUACGUGACAAGUAUUUUAAUUUUUGUAAAAAAAAUUUAGGAAACCCAAGCCCUGUCAGGAGGCGUAGUGAGUAGUACAACAUUCCAAAACAAUGAUUUCAGUAAGGAUCUUUCACCCUAUUUUCUGUUAUGGUAAAUUGAGGAUUGAUAAUCGAUAAUUUUAUGUUUUAUGAAAAUUAAAAAAAAAACUAAAAAUAAUUACAGGUCAUUAGUGGAGCUAGAAUUGAUUAGUUCAUAUUUGUCAUGAUUCCCUGUUUAUUUUCUAUACUGCUUAAAUUAUUUACUAUUUUAUUGUGCGUAUUAAAUUGAUAGUUUUCUGAUCUUCUCGAUUAUUUAGUUUAUUUGGUUACUCCUGGAUUAUUUAUUUGGUUAUCUAAUUACUUGAUUAUUCGAUUAUAUUAAACUAUACCUCUCACUUAGAUGUUGUUUAAAUUAAACUGUGAAUAUAUAAUGAGAGGUUAAUAUGCGUUUGAUGGUUGUUUGGACGAUAAGGAUAUAUAUAAACAAAAGCUUAAUGGGUACUUGAGAAAGGGUGGACGAACUUGAUACAUAAGGAACUCUACCGUGGACAUUACCUCAAUCGAACGAGACUAAGAAAUCUCAUACCGGAAGAGUUUUGAGAGAUAUAAUUUAUCCUUAUACCAGACAGGGUAUGAGAACGGUUGAAUUAGUUGUUAAAUGUAGAUAUUAGGUUCACAAGUAGAGAGAUAUCCUUAUAGACCCCCAAGAGUCCCAGUAAGUAGGUUAAAGGAAAAAUUACUGAUUUUAUAUUGAAAUUAAAAUGUUACUUGGCAAUUUGUCUUCAUAGAUUGUUUUCAAAAAAACCUGACAUGGUAAGUAUGAAAUAAAACAUUUUAAAGUUAAAAGUAUUUAUUUAAAUCAAGGAUUCCAUUAGUUCUUUUGUAAUUUUUACCAACCUUCGAUUUUCCGUAUAAGUGAUUAGUGUGAUAUUCUUAUUGGGAUAGUAUAGUUCACCUUUUUAUUAAUAAUUUUAUAUCAAAAAGAUCAAGAUUCAGAUCCCGAUCAGUAAGAGAGUUGUGAGUAGUUCACCUCCCAAACUCUUUUCAAGCGCUAGUGGAGGUUAAUCCCUAAAAUAUUUAUUUAUUUGUUUUUAACUAUCGUUUGUCUCUUUAUGAACCAAUGUAGAAGGGAUAUUCCAGCAGCUCAAUUGAACAUUCUAAUUUACUAUGUAAAGAAUGUAAACUCUAAUUUUAUUAUUUACUUCCGCGUUUAGAUAAUAAAUCUUUUUCUUUUAAUUUCAUACUUUUAUAUUAAAUCUUAAACUUGUUCUUAGUUUAUUUCUUAACUUUAUUCAAGUAUUUAAAUAUAUAAUGUGAAAUUAAAUUGACUCAUAUAUUUAAUUUCUUGAAAUAUGAAUAAAUAAUAAAAACAUCUUCCUCUUGCCCCCAAAUGACUCAAAUUUUAAUCUCAUGCUAUGUUUACUAAUAUUAAAACCGAAACUUUAUGCUUAUUGACAUUUUGGGUUUUAAAACCCAGCAUAUUUUGAAAUUCUAGUCGUUUAUGUGACGAUCCUAAAAAUUCAAAAGGAAAAUACAUAUAAUAAUCUGAGUGCGGAAGCGAAAUAAAAGAUUAAUGUUAAUAUCCCUUACACAAUAACUUAAAAGUACUAAACAAUAUCACGGAAUAAUUUCUCUAAAAGAAAUACAACAAAUGGAGAAAAUAAAGAAAACUAUAAAGUAUCUAGUAUUUACUCGCCGUCUUCUUGUGGAUCGGGCUAGGGAACCAGAUCCUCUUGACCUAAAAUGGUUAAAUAAAGAAUGAGUUACACUAGUCUAGUAAGGAUAUUACACUAUAUCACAAUUACAGAAGUAAAGGUUGGUAGAAAAACUGAAAACAACCAAUGAAGUACAAAUUUUAAACAAAUUUAUUUAUCAAUAAACAAACCAUUUACCGUCUACUUACCGCAGUGAGAUUUAUAAAAACAACCUAUGGAAACAACAAUAUUAUAAAUAUCAUGAAUUCAUAUAUAAUCUGUAACAUAGCACAUAUCAUACUUUUAUAUUCAAAUCAUCAAACAACAAUUGCCAUUUUUUAUCAGUCUAGUAGUAUCUAUGAGGAUCCAUAGGGGUCCCCGCUACACGUGAACCAUUCCCCUUAACAACUUAAUUCUAGGGUCGUCCCCAUACCUCGUCCGGUAUGAGUGCCAAACAAUAAACCUUAAUACCCCAUCCAGUAUUAAGGUGAAGCGGGUCGUCCCCAUACCCCGUCCGGUAUUGGCGCCAAAUGACCAAGUCUGCAUACCCUGUCCGGUAUGAGAUAACGUUCACGGUAGAGUUUUCUAUGAACCCGGUCCAUCCACUAUCUACCAGGAUAUCUAGUGAGGCUGUCAUGUUAUCCAUUUAUCAAAUCAUAUCCCAUUCCUAUUUGUCCUUAGUCUCCGUUACCAACUCAAACAUAAAUACAUAAACAAGUAACGUGCAUCCAACGAAGCAAGCAUAUCUUAGAUUCCCAAAAUUAAACAGUAGUGAAGUAAGCAGUGAUUCAUGCAUUUAAAACCAUAGAAUAGAUAAACCAGAUACCAUAAUGCAUUUAAACUAUAAAAUAAAUUAAGCAGGAAUCGACAGGAAAUAAUAUCCGAUUUCAAGCUCCAUUAGCAAUCUUAAUUAAUUAUGCAUAUUUAUUAAUUUGCAAAAAAUACAGUAUUACCAUUUAUUCGAACUUUAAUUCCAUAAUAGGAAAUAGGGUGAUGGGUUCUUACUUGAUUUGAUGUCGAAAACUAGAUUUUCACUGCGCCUAUGGGCGGUCCUUGGGUUUCCUGAAUUUUUCAUUAGGAAUUGAGACGCACUUACGAUACCUACACAUGUCCCAAAUAACCCAAAAAAUUAGACCCAGGGCCUACUCAACUAAUUUUGGAAUUCCAACACGGCAGCUUCGCCGUGCUUCGGCGACGGCGCUGUCGCUCAUGGCGGCGAUCCGCCUCAGGUUGGCUGUUUUCGGCCGUUUUCGAUCGAAUUUAGCCAAACUUGCAUCGGUUCCAGUAAGAAAACACACCUAAGACCCUCGGUGGGCCGAAAAAAGUGAAAAAUAGAAACUCACCGGCGGUGGGGCUCUCUAGUGCAGCGGCUCCUUCGGCUCACAUCGCGGUUGGGUGUUUUGCUCCAGUCAACUUGUAGAGGAGGAAACGGUGAUCACAACGGUAGAAAAAUCACAUCGAACGGGAAUCGAGAAGGGCCUCAUCGGAGGCAAAAACUGAGACACCCCGUGGCGGCGCCGCUGAGCUUCGGCGACGUUUUCCGGCCAAUUGGCCAGUGCUUUUGCUCCGAUUUGGCCAUAGAUGGAUUUAGAAUCAAAUUCUGAGUAAAUGGUAGAAUUUUUACCUCGUUUGGCGGCCGAAAAUUACUCCGGUAUGGCGGCGGUCGGCUCCCCGACGGUUGAGCUGUCUUCUCCAGCGAGGGGCUCUGGCGGCUAGGGUUAGGGUUUGGGUGCGGAUGAUGUUAUUUAUACCCAUCCGUUUUUGAUCUGAGCCGUCUAUCGCUUUUAAUCUGGGCCGUUCGAUUGCAAUUAAAUAGGGAAUGAAUAUGGGCCGUUCAUCGCGAUUCAAUCUGGGCCGUCCGUGCGCGAUACAAUCCAGGCCAUCUGUGCGCGUUUUUGAUUUGGGACAUCCGUGCGCGUGGGAACAGAUCUCAGCUGUUUGAUCGCACGCACACGGAUCGCCCACGUGGCUCCCUCCUGCUUCAGCGUCUCUGCUACCUGGCGCGUCCUGGUUGGCCAGGACUGCUGACCGGGCAGCUGACGUGACACAACUUUUCUAAAUUGCGUUUUGACCCCUUAUUUCUGAAUUUUCUUUAAAAAUACCCCUAAAACUCAAAUUUUAUUAAAAUUAUUUUCAAUUAAAUUUUUAAAUAAUUUUUACCAUUUUUAUUAUUAUUAUUAUUAUUUCUAUUAAAUUAAAUUAAAUUCUAUUAAUACUAAAUUAUAUUUAUAUAGAAUAAAUUAAAAUAAAACAAAAUAAUGUAAUAAUAAUAAAAAUAAAAAAAAAAUUUCGGGUGUUACAAUUCACCUGUAAUUUUGAAGUAAGGUACAACUUUAUUCAAACAGAGCUCAUUGCUAUUAGGAACACAAUACUAUACAACUUGUUUUAUUAAUCAUCUAAGCAAAUCAAUGUGCCUACAGAACUGAACCCAAAGGUAAACUUACAAGCUACAAAUUCUGUAUAAAUCAUAACAAUCGAAAACCACGCCCCAAUACUAGAUGGAUUCCGUGGCAUUUUACACUAGAGGAGCCUACGUACAGAAAACAAUCANNNNN